CACUGACAAGAAAUGGCAAAUAAUGAGCAAUGAGCUCUAAGAAUGAACAUUUCAGGUCAUAUAAAAUCAUGGAUGACUAUCUUAAUACAUUGAUAAUAACUAUCACGUGCAGGUAGCCAGUACAAUUGUACAUUUUUUGCAAACCAUGUAAAACCAUUUUGUGAAUGGCAAUGAAUUAUGCCGAGAAUAAUUGAGGGAAUAGUUGGCUUGGCAAUCAAGUUAAUGAAAUCUCUAGGACUCUCGGUGCCUUAAGGAAAUAAACAUAUUGGAGUCUUAAUUACAUGCAAUCAAUUAAGGGCCUUUAUUAAGUAAAUACAAGGAAUAAGAGUCAUGAUGGGACUAUAAUUGAUGAGAUAUGAUUUGGGUUGAUAUCCUUUCUGAUAAUAGGGAGGAAUUGAUUGAAACCCUAGCUGUAUAACCUAGGAGCAGUCCCUGCUUCCAUACCGAUAGAAACUCACAAAAACUAUAAGCCUAUUUUGAUAGUAGAGUUCGUUGAGAGGUAUUGGAAGUAGAAGACUACUUCUACUUUGUUCGCAAGGAUCAAUGACUUCACCUUCAUAACCAUGUCUUCCGAAUUCUAUAGAUAAGUUCAAUAUAAUUAGUCGAUCUCUAUUUCAUAUUGAUUUGAUUUAUUCGUGAUCCUAAUGCCUUGUUGUUGUGAUUUCAGAAUAUGUCUUAUAUGUGGUAUCAGAGCCGCACAACAAGCUUAGGGUCCGAUAUAAAGGUAUAAGCAAAUUUGUUUAUAGAAGACUGAUUCAAUUGUUUGUUCCAUGGCGACUCCAUCAGAGCCACCCAACGUGGCUAGGGUUCUUUAUUUUUACUAAAGGAACUGAGGUAUAUAUUUGAUUCUGGUUAAAUUAAUGCUUCCGCUAUACUCUAACCAUUUCUUCUGCAAUUUUUUUUACACUCAAUUGCAUGAUGAAUAAUUACAUGGUAUUCUUCGAGUUGUGUUUGUUACAUUUAUGCAGAGAAUUACAUCCAUUCAGAGUAAUGAAAACACUUGGAUGAUCUUGGUUAAAUGCUUCCACAAUCUUGAAUGAGUUUGUUGUAAACUUGCUGCAUAUUUCGCACGCAUCAAAACUGGUACUUUGCAUAUUGGCUAAUUGCUUCCAUCAGAAUGGCAUCAAAUAGAAGGAGUAUCAGACUUCAACAAAUGAAGUAAAACUUUAGGAAUCAAUAUCAUUUAUCUAUCACUAAACGACUUGACAGAUAAAUUGAUGAUUGAUUUUAUUUUGGAUGAACCAUGUGAGUGUUUGCUUAAUGGUUCUUGGUUAGAGGUUCAACUGAUUAACAUAAGCUUAAGACGCAAAUAUUCCGGCGGCUUUUGACUCUAUUCGGCGUUUUUCAUUACAAAUUCUCCCCGGAAAGGUAUGAAAUUGCUCUUCGCAAUUUAAUCUCUAUCUCAUUUGGUUGAAUUGAAAUUAAGCUUUUGGUUCCAACUAAAUCGAUUAAGUUAAGAGUUCAUGCUUCUGCUUAUGUUUUAAAAUUUUAAAUUUAAAUUUGGUAAGUUGUCUAUUACAAUCUUGUGACAUUAUUUUGAGUUGAUGGAAAUUAGCUUUAUGGAUACUAGUUUCCUGGGUGAGCCAUAGUAUAUGAUUUCAUACUUUAAAAUUUGGAUUUGGAUACCAUGGCACUAACAUGUCGUGUGCAGGCACACAAGUUCAUAUCUUAGUUGAAUGUAUGAACUAAUUUUACAGAAAUUUAGAAGGUUUAGAAAAACUUUUCAAGUCCCAAAUCUCUCGAUCUUGAGAAGCUUGAGUUAUAUACAUCUUGUUGACAUGUUUUUUUUUUGGGGGAUUUUCAUACUUCCGUUCACUUUUAUUCUAUUAUUAUUCAUGAAUCUAUUACCCUUGUAUUGAAGAGAACUGCACUGGUAGUGUUGAGAUUUUCUGCCUAUAUAAACUUAUAUUUUAACUACAUUGGCUUAUUUAUUGCAUGAUUUAACAGUGUAGUCCGGUCCAUAAUUUUUGGGAUGAUGAAUUAAAGGAUAGUAGUGUGGAUUUUGCAUUGAAAUUUCAUAUGGUUAACAAAUUUGGAUAUUUUGCUGAUGUAGAAUUUAAGCGAAGUUGUCUAAAUGACUAAAUCUUUUUCUUUUAUGGUGAAAAGGGAUGCCUUGUUUGUUGUAAUCGCCAAAAGAACGAAUUUUUGUUACCUAUUUGCAUUUUGUGUAGCAAAUAUAUAGUGAAUGGUCAUUGUUUAGCCAAAUUCUCAUCAAUGCAUAUGUAUCUCAUUUUAUUGUGAUCUGAUUAGAAGAUUUUGUAAAUUUCACUCACCGCUCCAGAACAAUAAUUUGAUAAAUUUUCCUAAUUCCAAUUUUGAUGAAAUUAUGUCAUGUUAUGUUAUAUAAUGAAUUCUGUACAUGGAAAAAAUUUCAGAGUCUUUCGCACAAGAAAUUGGUUUAUGGUUAAAUUUUAAGCAUGACACUAUGUUGCUGGAAUUAUGCACCAUAGUCUCUUUGUGACAAUUUGUGACAAUAUUUUGAAAUAUCUAUGUAACUCAUAAAUUCAUGAACUUUUAGUAUGAUAUACAUUGAGAUGUUUAUUUCAAGUCUGGAAAUUUUCACGUGCAUUGGUUUGAAAAUGAAUUAUUGGUGAUUUUUUUUAAUCUUGGGACUGUACUGCAGAAUUUACACAGUUUCUAUAGCACAUUCCAUUUCGAUUUUAUUUUUAGCCCACUUUUAAGAUUGAAAAAAUUAUGGAACUUUGGCUGACAGUAAAUUUAUAUGUCUACUUAAUUUAUGGAAAUUUUCAUGCACAUUGGAGAAAAUUUGAAUUUUUAGUGAAUUAUUUAGUCUCCGAUAUGUCCUGCAGAAUUUUUGCCGUUUCUGCAGCACAUCCCAUUUCGUAUUUUCUUUUAGUACACUUGUAAAGUCUCAAAAAUUAUGAAAUUUUGGGAAUUAACAUAUUUGUAUGUUUACUUAUUGUCUAAAAAUUUUCAUGCAUAUCGGAUGAACAAUGAAUAUUUGGUGAAUUUGUAAUCUCAGGUCUGUACUGAACAUUUUCUGCAGUUUCUGCAGCACCUCUCUUUUCGAAUUCAUUUUGGCUCGCUUAUAAAAUUUUAAAAAUCAUGAAAUUUAGCAAAACAGUAGUCAUAUAUGUCUAGUUCAUACCUAAAAAUUUUCAUGACAAUCUAAAGAGAAUUGAGUUUUUGGUGAAUUUGCAAACUAAAGUGGUAUUGCUGAAUUUUUGGUACUUCAAAAACUAGUUAUGUUAUGCAAUAUUGUUUUCACUAAUUUGUGCAUAUCCAAUAGUACCAAUUGUUUGACAUGUUUAUUUACUCUAAUAUGUUCUGGUUUUCAAUGCAAAUUCUCAAUUCUAAUUACUUUUAUUAGUCAACACUGAUUAAAUUUUGGUUGAAAAGUGUAUUGGUUUAUUUUGCUCAAACCAAUGUUUUGUUUGGUCAUCAAUUUUGAUUAUGAUGAUCAUUGUCUUUUGAGACAAAAAUUGGAAAGUGGCAUCAGUUUACUAAUUGAUCAUUUUGGUCCCUAUCGAAUAAUUGAAUAACCAUGUUUCCUCUUUCGAGAACUCUAUUGUUCAAUGUCAAUAAUGACAUACUUUUGUGUCUGAUUGAAUCUUUUGAGAAUCAUUGAAUAUCCAACAAAACGGUUAUUUAAUACUGUUCUAAAAGAUUAUUUUGAAAAAUCAGAAUUCUAAUUUAUAUGGUAAAUACUUUGUCCCAAUGGGAAUUUCAAGAAAUCACUCAUCAAUUAUAAAUUAGUAUUAUAGCAACUCAUAAAGUACUUCUAACAUAUUUUCAUCUGGCCAAAGCUGUGAACCUAUAUGUAUUUUGUGUAUUUUAUGUUUUGGCUCUAUGCAAGUAUUUUCUUUGCAUGAUUAGUUUCUGCCCAAAGGUGUAACAAUCAUGCAAUUUGGAGUUGGUUCGAUCCUCCACAACUCGACUACUUCCAUGAUGAAUCUUGCAAAAUCGAGAAUGAGUAGGUAAAUUUGCCAAUCUUUUGCCUUAAUUUUCUGUGAAUUCUAAAUUGGAUUAAAAUUAUUGUUGAAAAAUUGAUGUUAUUGAGAUAUCUAAGUGUUUAUUUUAAUCGACUUUGUUUUAGAAUUAAAACAUAAAUUUUGAAUUUGGAUUCUCUUAUUAGGUUUCAUUUUAAUGUAUGACCUAAUCUUUAACGCAUAUGUGAGUCUUCUCUCAUACACUAAAAUAAAAUUUGUAGUCAAUGCAUAAGUUUUUUUUUAUUUAUGGAACUUUUUAAUUCUAACCUACUUAAAUAUAUAUAUAUAUAUAUAUAUAUGUAUUUGAUCUUUAUUGAUUCAACUAGCCUAUAUUUUGUUAUAUGAAAACCACUUUCUCUAGUGUUUAAUCUUGCAAUUUUGAGUGUUUGCCCAAGUGGGAGAAAUAAUGUAUUAUGGGCUUCACACUCAUCAUUUUUUGCAUGCUUUUAAUGGUCAUAGUUUUGGUAGAUAAAACGUACAUUAUCAUACUUGUUUAUAUUUUAUUUGUUAUACAUGCAAUUAAUCUUGUAGGAAAUUCAAGAAGGGUUAAUGAGUAUAUUCUGCUCAAAAGUGUUUUGCUUAUUAAUUCUUGUAUGUUGUUCAAGAAAUUGGACUUGUGAUUUAUAUGUUUUUGAUGGAUAAUUAAUCUGCUCAAAAGUGUUUUCUUAUUCAGUAUAACUAUAAAUCAAUGUAUAGUGAAGCAUGGAAUUGACAAGAUGGUAUAUACUUCAUCUGCUCAAAAGUGUUGAAGCUAUAUAAGUUUACCCUUGUAUUUUAUGUUUUAGCUAUGCAAACCUAAUAUAAUUAGUUUCUAUCCAAAGAUGAUUCUAGAAUUAUAUGCUUUUGAUGCAUUAGAAAACAUUUAGUUAAAGUUUUCUAUUUCUGUCAUAUGUUAGAUGAACAAAACUGACCAAAUGAUUUUGUAUAGUUUUUCAGUCACAAUAGUCACCUCCCUACAGAUAUCUAGAAUAAAGAUGUUGAGCUCACAAAUUUUAUGUUUUAGAUCCCAUGACUAAUGUUUUGCUAAUGGGAGUAUUUGAAAGGUAUCUGUUUCAUUUUGUAGACAUUGACAAAGUUUUUGUUUUUUACUCUCUUAAUCAGUGGGAGUAAUAAUAAUUUAUAUAGUUUUGUCUCUUUUAAUCAGUGGGAGUAAGUGAUUACCUUUUGUGUUAAAAAUUUGAAGUGUUAGUGGCUGAUACUUUAAGAGUAAUUUUGUUUAAAUUUUGUUCAUAAGUUUUAAUAAGAGGUCCUGAUUUUGUAAACAGUAUGUCGUAUUUUACUUGUUCUCUUAUUAUAUUCUAAAUUGACAGAAAAGUUGGAUUUAGUUACCAACCUUGUUGAGUUCUUUUGUGAACUACUUUUGUACUGAAAUAUAUUUCCAUAUUUUCAGUUCGACUAUUGUGAGCUAAUGUUUUGACUAUUAGCUCUUGAUAUCAUGACUUUGUUAGUAACAUAGUGCUUUGAGUUAAGUGUGCAUGUAAUCAUAGAGUGCAAGGAACUGUCCAAUGUGUGCCUUGUUUUCCUUGGUUCUGCAUUUAGUCUCAAAGUGACAAGUUACUUGAAAGGUAUGAUUGCAUACUUUAGUGGACUCAAGUGAUCACCAUAUAUAUUUAUCUCGUUGAGGUAUUCUCAUUGACAUUCAAGUGGGAGAAUGUAAAACCAUUUUGUGAAUGGCAAUGAAUUAUGCCGAGAAUAAUUGAGGGAAUAGUUGACUUGGCAUUCAAGUUAAUAAAAUCUCUAGGACACUCGGUGCCUUAAGGAAAUAAACAUAUUGGAGUCCUAAUUACAUGCAAUCAAUUAAGGGCCUUUAUUAAGUAAAUACAAGGAAUAAGAGUCAUGAUGGGACCAUAAUUGAUGAGAUAUGAUUUGGGUUGAUAUCCUUUCCGAUAAUAGGGAGGAAUUGAUUGAAACCCUAGCUAUAUAACCUAGGAGCAGUCCUUGCUUCCAUACUGAUAGAAACUCACGAAAACUAUAAUCCUAUUUCGAUAGUAGAGUUCGUUGAGAGGUACUGGAAGUAAAAGACUACUUCUACUUUGUUCGCAAGGAUCAAUGACUUCACCUUCAUAACCAUGUCUUCCGAAUUCUACAGAUAAGUUCAAUAUAAUUAGUCGAUCUCUAUUUCAUAUUGAUUUGAUUUAUUCGUGAUCCUAAUGUCUUGUUGUUGUGAUUUCAGAAUAUGUCUUAUAAACCAUGCUCAACCUGACUUUAUAAUGUGUAAAUUACAGAAAAGGCCAAAAACAUGGUCUUGCAAAUUUUGCAUACAGGUCCUGUGUAAUUUGAAGAUUGUAAACCUUAAUUGUAAUUUAACAUUGCAUGACUUGUUCCUGAGACUAAAGUAUAAAGACCAAGUAAGAUGGGUUACAAUUAAUUACUGCAAUCUCAUCUCAAAAUGAAAAGAAAAAAAAAAACAAACGUAGAUUAGGGAAUCUUACCGAGAAAGUGUUGAAGUUGUCAAAGAUUCUAGUUGAUAGGUUUCCUUCAUUUUAGGGUUUAUUCCCUGGACGUGCUAAUAACCCUCCUAUACUUGAGGAACAAGUUUGUUAUCUGUUUUGAAUUAGUCGAUUGCCACGAUUCUAGGGUUGUUGUUAUCGUGGGUUGUUAUUUCACUUUCGUGUUGAUGUAAGGCUAUUUAAUAGCUGGUUGAUGUCUUUCAGUUUAAUAAGAAUGCUUCUGAGUUAUCCAGUGCAAAAUACUUUGUGUUCGUAUUCAUAAAACUUCACGUAAACCUAGUUCAGUUUCAAAAUCUGGUAUCAGAGCCCCAUCACAGGGGCCUGACCAAAAACCGGCAAACACAGUUGCUUGCGUGAAAGAACAAGAAUAUGACGUCCGAGAACAGUUUUGUGCAACCUGCCAUCCCGAGGCUCGAUGGGCACUAUGAUCACUAGAGCAUGCUUAUGGAAAACUUCCUGCGUUCCAAGGAGUAUUGGAACCUGGUGGAGACGGGGAUCACUGCAGUUGCAGGAGGAGCGGACUCUAAUGAUCCACAGAAGAAGGCACUGGAGGAGCUGAAGCUGAAAGACCUGAAGGCCAAGAACUACUUGUUUCAGGCCAUUGAUCGUUCAAUUCUUGAAACGAUCUUGAAGAAGGACACGGCGAAAGACAUAUGGGAUUCCUUGAAGCAGAAGUACCAAGGAACUGCACGUGUGAAGCGUGCUCAGUUGCAAGCACUUCGAAAGGAGUUCGAAGUAUUGCAUAUGAAGGCUGGAGAAACUGUUAAUUAAUAUUUUGGGAGGACACUCACCAUAGCUAAUAAGAUGAGGGUGCAUGGAGAAAGAAUGGAGGAUAUAGUGAUCAUUGAGAAAGUUUUGAGGUCUAUGACGUCAAAAUUUGAUUAUGUGGUCUGUUCGAUUGAGGAGUCGAAUGACUUGGAUACUCUAUCCAUUGAUGAACUUCAGAGCAGUUUGCUUGUGCAUGAACAAAGGAUGGGUCAACAUGUGAUGGACAAACAAGCUCUCCAAGUUACCACUGGAGUUCAACAAGGAGGGCGAAGUGGUGGCCGUGGCUCCUAUCGGGGAAGAGGUAGAGGAAUGGGUAGAUUUGGGUUCGACAAAUCUAUCAUAGAAUGCUACAACUGUCACGAACUAGGGCACUUUCAGUGGGAAUGUCCUAAGAAGACUAGGGACCCCAAGGCUAACUUUGCAGAAACAAAUGAGGAAAUGCUGCUAAUGGCGUUGGUAGAUGCCAAGGAAGCUGAGACGGAGGCGCUGGUGGAUGCCAAGGAAGCUGAGACGGAGCAGAUUUGGUUUCUUGACUCAGGAUGUAGUAACCACAUGUGUGGUAGAAAGGAAGCGUUUGUCGAAAUAGAUGCAAAUUUCCGAAAGUCAGUCAAGCUGGGAAACAACUUCAGUCUCAGUGUGCAAGGCAAGGGCAAAGUACGAAUGGAGGUGCAUGGGAUCAUGCAUGUGAUUACAGACGUCUUAUUUGUACCUGAAUUAAAGAAUAACUUGUUGAGUAUUGGUCAACUGCAAGAGAAGGGACUCGCAGUGCUCAUGCAACAUGGAAAGUGUAAGAUCUUUCAUCCUGAGAAAGGUCUCAUUCUUGAAACUGAGAUGACAUACAACAGGAUGUUUGCCUUGGGUGCUCGCUGUCCAGGAAAGAAACAAAGUUGUCUCUCCAUGACAACCACAGAUCAAGCUGAUCGCUGGCAUUGUCGAUAUGGACAUUUAAGUUGGAGUGGUCUGAAGGUGCUACAACAAAAGAACAUGGUUAAGGGGCUACCAAAGCUCAAAGCUUCUCAGAACGUGUGUGAAGGUUGCCUUGUAGUGAAGCAGCAUCGUGACUCUUUUCCUAGGGAAAGUGUGUGGAGAGCCUCAAAGAUCCUGCAAUUGAUACACGCUGACAUCUGUGGUCCCAUAAACCCAAUCUCAAACAGUAAGAAUAGAUAUUUCAUUACUUUUACUGAUGACUAUAGUAGAAGAACUUGGGUUUAUUUUCUGGUGGAGAAAUCAGAAGCCUUCACCGUGUUCAAAACAUACAAAGCCAAAGUGGAGAAGGAAACUGGAUCAUUCAUAAGAGGUUUGAGGACGGAUCGAGGAGGUGAGUUCACAUCUCAUGAAUUCUCAGAUUUCUGCAAUGAGAAUGGCGUUCAAAGGCAGUUGGCAGCUGCCUAUACGCCUCAACAGAACGGGGUUGCUAAACGGAAGAAUUGAACUAUCAUGAAUAUGGUUCGAUGUAUGCUAUCAGAUAAGCGGAUUCCAAAGACCUUCUGGCCUGAAGCAGUGAAUUGGGCUGUCCAUGUGCUAAAUCGAAGUCCGACCCUUGCAGUAAAGAGCAAAACAUCUGAGGAAGCAUGGAGUGGGCACAAACCCUCGGUAGAGCACUUUAGGGUUUUUGGUUGCAUCGCUCAUGUGCACGUACUAGAUAGCAAGAGAUUGAAACUUGAUGACAAAAGCCUCAAAUGUAUACUGUUGGGGGUAAGUGAGGAGUCCAAAGCUUAUAGAUUGUUUGAUCCUAUUUCAAGUAAAAUCAUUAUAAGUCGAGAUGUAGUGUUUGAAGAAGAUCAACAAUGGAAUUGGGAUGACAGUCAUGAGCAAGAUAUUUUAGCUGAUCUUGAUGAAGAAACAGGUACUGGAGAUGAAGGAAAUGAAGAAGAAAAUGAGGGAAAUGAAGAAGAAACUGACGUUCAUGGGUCAGAUGGCAAUAAUUCGUUUGAAUCAAAAGAUACCAUAAAUGAAGGCAGUGCACCUCAAGAAGGACGAGCUCGAAGGCCACCAAGUUGGAUGAGAGACUAUGACAUUGGUGAAGGUCUUUCUGAUGAAGAAGGUAUGAACUUGGCUCAUCUAGCCUUGUUUACAAAUGGCGAUCCUACUAGCUAUUGCGAAGCUGUGAAAAAUGAGAAGUGGAAACAAGCAAUGGAUAGAGAUAGAAGCAAUAGAGAAGAACCAUACGUGGGAAUUGACUAACCUACCAACAUGGGGAAAAACUAUUUGAGUCAAAUGGGUUUUCAAGACAAAAUUGAAUGAAAAUGGGGAGGUGGACAAGUAUAAGGCCCGGCUUGUUGCGAAUGGAUAUUGCCAACGAUAUAGAGUGGAUUUUUCUGAAGUAUUUGCACCCGUGGCACGAAUGGAUACAAUUCGAAUGGUUAUAUCCAUUGCUGCACAAAGAAGCUGGAAGAUUUACUAACUCGAUGUCAAAGCAGCAUUCUUGCAUGGAGAGAUCAAUGAAGAGGUUUUCGUUGAACAACCACCUGGAUAUGAACAGAAGGGAAGCGAAGGCAAGGUCUAUCUUCUCAAGAAGGCACUAUACGGGCUCAAGCAGGCUCAACGAGCAUGGUACAGUCGAAUAGAGGCAUAUUUAUCAAAUAGGGAUUCAACAAAUGUCCUUUUGAGCACACAUUGUUUAUCAAGACAGCCAAUGAAGGUAAAAUUUUGAUUGUAUGCCUAUAUGUUGAUGAUCUCAUUUUCACUGGAAAUGAUAGGGUGUUGUUUGAGAAAUUUAAGAGAUCCAUGAUGACAGAAUUUGAUAUGACUGAUCUCGGAAGUAUGAGAUUCUUUAUUGGCAUUGAAGUAAUACAGAAACCAGAUGGCAUUUUUAUAAGUCAGCGUAAGUAUGCACAGGAAGUGUUAGACAGGUUCAACAUGGGUCAGUGCAACUCAGUGCAUAACCCUGUGGUUCCUGGAUUCAAACUCACUCGUGAUGAAGGGGGAGCAAAAGUAGACAGCACGCACUAUAAGCAAAUGGUUGGGAGUCUUAUGUAUUUAACAGGUACACGACCUGAUCUUAUGUACGUUGUAAGUCUAAUUAGCAGGUAUAUGGAGAAUUGUACAGAGACUCAUUUGUUGGCAGUCAAAAGGAUCUUAAGAUACGUGAAGGGAACUGGUGAUUUUGGGGUACUUUACAAGAAGGGAGGAGAUGAAGAGCUCAUUGGCUAUACGGACAGUGACUAUGCUGGUGAUCAAGAUGACAGAAAUAGUACUUCAGGUUAAGUAUUUAUAAUGAAUUCAGGAGCAGUAUCAUGGUCCUCGAAGAAAUAACCAGUGGUCACUCUCUCUACUACCGAAGCAGAAUUCAUUGUGGCUGCUUCAAGUGCGUGUCAAGUGGUGUGGUUAAGAAGAAUUUUGAGUUGCUUGACUCUGAGGCAAACUGGUCCAACAAAGGUUUACUGUGAUAAUGUCUCAACCAUUAAGCUGUCAAAGAAUCCAGUAAUGCAUGGUCGCAGUAAACAUAUAGAUGUAAGGUUUCACUUCCUUCGAGAUCUUGUCAAGGAUGAAGUAGUGGAGCUGCUGCAGUGUUCUACUCAGGAGCAGAUUGCAGACGUAAUGAUGAAGCCACUGAAACUUGAAGUAUUUCAGAAACUGCGAGACCUAAUGGGUGUAUGCAAAUGGCCUGGAAUAAACUGAAUCAAUAGUAUUCAGUUUAAGGGAGGAUGUUGAAGUUGUCAAAGAUUCUAGUUGAUAGGUUUCUUUCAUUUUAGGGUUUAUUCCCUGGACGUGCUAAUAACUCUCCUAUACUUGAGGGACAAGUUUGUUAUCUGUUUUGAAUUAGUCGAUUACCACGAUUCUAGGGUUGUUAUUUCACUUUCGUGUUGAUGUAAGGCUAUUUAAUAGCUGGUUGAUGUCUUUCAGUUUAAUAAGAAUGCUUCUGAGUUAUCCAGUGCAAAAUACUUUGUGUUCGUAUUCAUAAAACUUCACGUAAACCUAGUUUAGUUUCAACAGAAAGCAGACUAAUGUCAUUGCGUGCCCUUUCAUUUACAAACUUCGCGUCAUUGUAAACAAAUUUGCAAGCUUCAGCUAAACCCUGAUUGGAGUGAGUAGUUCUCUCAGAAAAGACUGGAGUGCCCCCAUCUUUUUCAUCCCUAAUAUGUGAACUAGGAUACAAGACGAGUUCUUUAACAGAUGUUGAAAAAAGAGAACAAUUGGCAGUUUUUUUUAAACUUAUGCUAAAAAUAUGCCACAAUCAAAGAGCAUGAACAACAAACUAAUUAGGCAAGAGUUAAAAGUGAUAGUUCAAGAUAUAAAUACGGAAAAUUCUGAAAGCAGAUGAAAUAAUUUGUUGUCAAAAUCUCCUAGAUAUUAUAAAAAUGAGGCACAAAUUCAUUAAGUACCUCCUUUUGAUGAGUGAAGAAACAUAAAUUAUGUAAGAAAGUUAGUGUCACGGGAUUUUCUUACCCUCUGGUCCAUUUGGUUCUAAUAUGUAAUUUUUCUCACCUUGACACUUAACUGAGGAUCUAGAUGAAGGGAAGACAAAUGCACUGGUCCCUAGUUUGAGGGUUGUGAAAAGUACCUAGAGAGCGAAUCCCUUCUCCCUAUAUACAUACAUUAUUGUCCUUGUUCAUCUGAUUGCCCUCUUCCUUUUAAGAAAUCCUCAUGCUGGUAUUUUCUAUAAUAUGGAUAACUUAUUAAGCAUUAUAUCAAAUCGGUUGUGUCCCUAUGAGUGAGUAGUCCAUUAUAGUAGUAUUUCUGAGUGCUUAUUCCUUUCCUAAAUAAGCAAGUAAACUACCUUCAUGUAUACCUUUUUGUAGUCUAAGAGCCCUUUCUUUCUUAGUGCUUACGCUAAGGAAAAAUUUGAUUGAUAGAGCUAGAUGUGGAGCGACCCUGUUGCUUGUUUACCUAACACAAGUAAACAAGCUAGAAGAAGAUAAAACUCAUAUCUCAAUCAACUCAGACGAAUGUAUUUCUUACUCUGAGACAAGAGGAAGAUGGGGAGAUUGAAGGUUUGUAACUCCUCGUCUGCUCAUCUACUGUAACUCUUUUCCUUUUGGCUGUCAGAUGGAGACAUAUAAAUGGCAAUUUAUACUUGCAAUCUAUUACACCUGUCAAACGGUUAGAGCACUCAUGUUUGCUACACUUAACAGAAGCCUCUAUGAUGCUGCCUCUCCUCAUCAUCCCUUGCUCACAACUGGUGGAGUUGGAUAAUUACAUGCUUGGAAACCAUGAUCACAGCCGUUCCAUAACCUCACUUGAUCGAUAUCACGAGAUGACCAAUAUCAAUGACUUACAUGAUACAAGUAUAUUAUUACAAUACCAUCUUGGUGAGUUGAUAUUAUACUGUAUAUUUUACCCUAUUCUUAGUUAUAAUUUAUUGGUUAUUUUGUGAGAAUUUUGAUAUUUUGAAUUAUAUUUCCAAUGGAGGACAUUCGAAUUCCUCUUGAGAAAAAAGUGAUCAAACAAAUUAUGGAGUGAUUCUAAUUGAAGGAUGUUCGUUAGUCUUUCUACUUGAUUGUAUCAAAGUUUUAUAUUUUUCUACCAAAUGAUUAAUUUAUGGCGAUGAAAUAAAGGAGCAACGUACAGUGUUGUCAAAGUGACGUUUUGGGCUUAUUUGGCGUCCAAGAUGAUGUCUUUUGGGUUUGAGGCCUUUUGCAAUUAUGUUCGGGAGAUCUCAAGCUUUAUUUUGAGUCAUUUUGGGUCUAUUUUAGAGCCAUGAAGAUCCAGAAACGUGAGAUUCUUUGUGGCUGGGCAGAUUUCUCAAAGUUAGAAUAUGAUGUAUUUUCUAGUUAUCUUAUUCUAUUAUGUUUUCUUGUUUUAUUCUAAGAUCUUUUCUAGGAAGGAUUUUAUUUUGUAUUAGUAUAAAUAAGGCUAUUUAACCAUUAGGGUUGGGGAACGCAUCAAUUUGGAGAACUUAGCUACGCUUUGACGAUUUGUAUUUUUUCUUCAAUGUAUUUUUUAUCCUUUUUCUAUUUCAAUAAAAAUUCAUUUUGUUUUAUGGUUAUUCGUAACUAAUUUCCGUUUGCUAGAUGAGGCCACGAGCCUUACCAUGAAUAUGUAGUAUUUAUUUAAUUGCUUAUGAUAUUAUGCAUUUGUACUUUGAAUUAUUAAUCGCUGUGUUUAAACUGUCUCUAUAUCUUAAUGCUUAGCUGCUAUUAAGAUGUUUAGAUAAGUAAUUGGAUGCAAUUCGGUCGGAAUAUCACCGGAGGAUUGAGUAUUGCUUCUUGUGAUUGGUAAUUGUAAUUUCACCUAAGGCAAAUAUCACACUCUUAGGGUUGCAUGAUUUAAAGUGUUAGAAAUUGUAAAUGUACUCAAUUUUCUUACCUAUUAAGUACUAGUUUGCCUCUCCGUAUGUACUUACGCUACAAUAUUAUCACCAAUUGAACUAAUUAAAAAGAGAAGUGCGAACAUUAUUGCUAGCCUAUUGUGAAGCUUAGCCCACUUCCCCACCUCCUUAUUGCAAACAGUAUCGUCUGUUCAAUUAAAAAAAAAAAAGGAGUGCAUGCAUUACUCGCCAAAACCUACAAAAGUUUUGUGGUUGCUACUGCUACAUCCCCAGCCAGCGGGCAGAUAUGAAGCAUUGACUCAAUGUUUUGGUUCUUCUGCUUCUACAACGAUGGUCCCGAUUAGAAACUUGGGAUAAUCUUGUAUCUCUCAUCUUCUCUCAGUUUCUCCGGUUUCUUGGAUGCAUUUUGAGCUCGUCGGUGCACCCCAACUCGAAUCCUGACACGCCCCGACCCUGAUAUUCCCCGAAUACCAGGAUAAACACGUGCUGGCCGACACCCGAGGGUGACGAAAGCCAUUAAUUGAUACAAAAGCUAAGAAUAAGAAAUAAAUACGGGUUAUGAAUUUAAAUACAAUGAAUGAAAAUUUUUACGAACGUGUUCAAAACAUACAACUAAACCUAAUCACUAAAAAGAAUUAAGAUAAAAUUGAAUGAAUAAAGAAGUAGGUCCUACAUCGAGAGGAUUCAAAGAUGCUACUGCGGAAGUGUCUUGACGUCAUGAUUAGGUGCCUUGAAUCUAAGUCCUGAAUGGGGGCGCAAAACAAAGGUGAGUGGACCAAGUUCAUAUAUACCAUAAUAAUAAAACAGUUAUCAAGAAACUAACCCCCACAGUUAUAUAAUGAAAACUACUAGCAUAAUAAAUGAUGGAUUUAAUAAAAAUCCUAGCAUGCCAAAAAUAUCUCAAAAGCCACAUAGCGGAAUAUCAUCGCAGAAAUCAAAACAGUAAACGUCUCAUAAAUUGUCUCGUAAGCGCGAUGUGCUGCUAGAAAGAUCACUGAAUAAAUAUAACUCCCGGCCCAAUGCUUGCACACCUAAGUCUCUGUGCCCAUAGCCAGAGAUAACUCCCUCCCGGCCCAAUGUCUGUCACCGUGUCCCUCAGCCUUUUGCUAGGGAUUAUUUCUCUCGGCCUAAUUGCCAACACCAUAUCCUUACCCUAGGCGGCAUAGUGUCUACUAAGUACGCACAAAUAGUUACGCCUCUCAUAAAUAACUACUUCAUAGUAUAAAUCUCGUCCAUCGUCUAUACUAUAAAGAGGGGUUUCAAAAACAUGUUCUAGCAUCCUAUCGUCAUCUAUCAGAUAGUCUACCAGUUCAUGGUUUUUAUAGAAAAUACGAUAUAUCAAAAUAUAGCUCAAUAUAGGCCAACAAUUAAUUCCUCACCAAAAACACGAAACGAAAAUCAACAUAUUCAAUAAACAUGCUUAUCAUAAAUCAAAUCAUAAACUCGUAAGGCAUGCUAUUCAUUUAUGCAAUUAAACUAUAAAAUCAUGUAAUUUUAGAAAGAGGUCCACUCACAGUACUUAGUUGCCAAAAGCUGCGCCACUAGCGAAGACGGAAACGUCACAAUAAUUGCCCCUAAGCACACAAAGAGUCCAAUAAAUAAAACUAUAUAAUAGCAAUUGAAUUUGGGAAAACGGACAUUGGAAACGGAUUUAGAACGUCGAAUUACCCUAAGAAGGGUCCCGGACGAAAACCCAAAAAGUCAACCCUAAAAUCAACGUUGACCGGGGGUCAACGGUCAACUAGGCCAAAUGGGCUUGGAUUCGGAUUAAGGUUUAGGUUAAAUAGGAUUCGGAUCUAUUGGGUUUUGGGUUUAGGGUCCUAAGGUUUUUGGUUAAAAGGGGUUAGGAUGAACAGGGGCUGGUUUGGGCUUAAGCCCAAACACACACACAUGCACAUGCACAUGCAUACAUAACAUGCAUAUACACACACGCACACAUACCCUAAAUACACACACACACACACACACACACACACGGGCUGCACACUCACACACCCACACAAACCUAUGGCCCGAAGGCCUUAAGGCCAAAAAAGGCUGGGCUUGAGCCCUUUAGCAAAAACCGGCCUAAGGCCCUUUGGGUCUUUAAAACAAUAUAACUAAAAAUAAAAAUGAAACGGGCUGGGGUUUUGGGUUGAGGCGUAACGGGCUUAAGGCCUGUGGGGUUUUCUAAACGGCCUGAGAGGCCUGGUUUUGCCGAAGAAGAAGGCCGGAAAUUCGGCUGGAAAACCAUCCAACUUUAAACGGUCAUAACUUUGUCAAAACUCAACAAAAUCAAGUGAUUCAAAAACUAAAGUUGUAGCCCUCGAAGAUACGAAGAGAAGGAUACCUCACACGACAUCUAAAACGCCGUGGUUUGGCCGGAAAAUGCCUCGAAAUCCUCGGUGGUCGCCGGAAACUGGGUAAGAUUCAAAUGAGUAUAACUUCUUCAAUACUCAACGAAAUUGAGUGAAUCAAAAAGGAAAGUUGUAGUACUCGAUGAGACGAAGAGAUUUAUACCUUUCACAGUGGCCAACGCGCCGUGGUUUGGCCGGAAAUUGCCUCGAAAGUGGCGGUCUGGUUCGGAGCUGUCCGGGUUUCAUGGUUCGACUUCCAAGAUGCCAAGACUAUGGUUGAGUUCAUAGCUGUUGGAAGUUUUGAGACUCUUGUCCCACAUUGGGGAAAACAAGAUUCACAAGGGCCUUUAUAUAGAUUUAGUGCUUUAGUCUAGUAAUUAGAAUAUGAGCCAUUUGGAAAUGGAUUGAAGGCUUGGGCCUUAUGGUUGUGUGGAUUAGGCUUGUAUAAUAUAGCCUAAAUACAAUGCAGAAGAUGCAAAUCCCAUGGGGUCGAGUCCAGGGACGAGUGAGUACCAAUCUGGCAGUGGGAUAUUUCCGAUUAAGCUGAUGGAGCAUAGAUGACUGAGGGUCUUAUUAUGUGACCAGAACACUUGAUUCGAGCAAUGCUAAUCGGUUUUUGGUGAGAGUAAUCUUCUCUUCUGUUUCUGCCGCCUUUUCUUGAACUCCACGGACAAUAUCUUCAGGAGCUUUCUCCACAAACUGCAUGCGCAAAACUGAUAUCGUCAGAGGUAUGAUACGUGUGCAUACAUGCACAGCAUGCGAACGACUAUGCUAAAGAAAGAAAGGACUCAACAUAACAUGCACGCAUCAUAACAAGAAAUUACUAUAACUCACUUUUAUUUGUUUUCAUUUAACACGAGAUGCAAAAAAUUUAACGAAACUCCAGAUGAUGGAUGUAUCAAGCGGGCAGAAUUGAUGUUGGCAAAAUUUCCAAAAUUUCUAAGCUCAUCUUACCAAAUGUUUUAGGUUUUUAUUUAAUUUUGGUUCGAAAUCCAAUCAUUUCAGUCAAUGGAUCCUUAGGGAACAAUACAUGUAAAAUACUUUCUCCGAUCAAUGCCAACUGCCAAGCGCUUAAACAUGAGUUAAAAAUAUUCAUACUUUAGGAGAGCUGAGCCGAGCUUUAAGUCCAUCAUAUUCUGUCUGCAUCUUGGAAAGUCUCUUAGAUAGGCGUUGGAUUUCGGCAGUAAUAUCAAUCAUGUCAGCAAGAGGGAGAUAUGCCUCUAGCCCUUCACCAGCUACAAGAUGGACAGAUUGAUCCGCAUUCCCUGAAAUAAAAGACAUCCGCCAAAUAUAUGCCUCAGCAUCAGGUCAUAUAAAGCCAUAAAAAUAAAUGACAAUAAACAUGAACAUUUCCGGGCCUUGGCCAAAUGGAAAAUAAUCGAUGAAGAAACGUGCCUGGGGGAGAAUCGGUGAAAUUGAUGUUUUGUAAAUCUAGCCUGGAGAGAAGAGCUAAAACUUCUUUUUCUUUCUGCAUCAAAAUAUAAAUAAAUAUUUAAGCGAGUUAGUGGUAAUGAUAAUUAUGUCCAAAUAAAAAUAAUUGCUGGAGAAUGAAUACGUACCCAUAUGUAUUCAGUGACUUCUUCAGUUGCAACUAUAGAUGCUGAUAUACGCUUUACAGGCUCAACAGAAUAUUCUGCUCGAGCAUUUCUGAUAGCUCUAGUCUAAGAAUAACAAAGAAGAAAACUUAGUAAUUUAAUCAGCCACUUUUGACUACAAGAAAAAUAUACAAGAUAGCAAAAAGUGCCAUUUGGAUUUGGGUAUGGACCACUAAACAAGAAGGAUGAUGGAAUAUCCACUCACCAAAGCCUGUAAAUUUUCAAAAUUUUUAAUCGAAUUGCUCUUCCUUGGAAGUGAAGUCAGUGGCCACGGAGAUACAAUAAGAGCUUCUUUUCGGUAGGGGAGCGCCUGUAUCAAAGCAAUCAUUCAUUUUAAUUGAAACAUUAUCGGGGCCAACAGUACAAUGAAAGCGAACAAGCAGUCCACCCUAAAUCCUAAGCAAAAGCUUUUCCAUUUAAUAAUUACCCCAUAAGAAAAUAAUAAAUACCUUAUCAGUAGAGAAGUUGAAUUCAACUCAAAUGCUGAAUAUAGUGAAUCAAUUUUACCUGCCAGAGUUCCUCGGUCACAAAUGGCAUGAAGGGGUGUAGUAAUUUAAGUAUGUUUUAAAAAACAUACAAUAGAACUGCCUGUGUAACAGAAGCAACUGAAUCACCACUAGAGUGGUAAAGAUGAGCUUUACUGGCCUCGAUGUACCUACAUAAGUGAAAUAAGUCGACAAUUGAUAAAGGUGUAAAUCAGUGCAUCUGAGCUCAGCAGAAGAUAUUAACAAAAAAGAAAAAGAAAACGGUUAACAUUCUUAUUUUCUGUUAUUUUAGUAAGAAACACUCACUUUCAAUGAUAAAAAACCUAAGAGCAAUUCCAGCGGGGACCAAAUGUCCCAGCCUUCAGUCCAAAAACCAAGCCAGGCCUCAGUCAAUCAAGUCCACCCCAACAAAUUGACUGGAACCCAGCCCGAGCUGGGCAAGAGCCCAGCCCAAAAGAGACUGAGACAGAAACCGGGGAGGAAGCCUGGCGCGUGCGCUUCACGCAGCCGUGGCGCGAGUGCCCAACAAGCUUUCAGAGCUCGGGCCCGCGUGCAGGUGCUGUCAGUUCCACCCCCCGAGUUUGCGACGUGGCUCUCUCUCUGCCGUUGGAUUUCCAACGGCUAGUUUUCUAGACCGUUGGAUUUCCAACGGUAAAAAAAUUUUAAAUUUUACUUUUAAACUAGGCCGUCAGAUCAAAGAUCAACGGUCCACGUUUUUUUCACAAAAAGUAAAUAAAUAAAUAAAAAAAGGGCCCAACGGUCAGAAAUAUGACCGUUGGCCACGUGGCAACUCCCUAGCUCUUGGAUUUGAAUAUUUUUCAAAUCCAACGGUCCAGAUUAAUUAACUAUAUUAAAAUUCAUUAAAAAUUAUUAAAAAAUACAGAAAAAUUAUUAAAAAAUACAGAAAAUUUUAAAAAAAUUACAGAAAAUUUUGAAAAAUGUUAAUUUUUUUCCUAUAAAUACCUAACCCUCAUCUUCUACCUUUACACCACAUUCCAAUAUUUUCUACACUUUCUAUACUAUCUACAUUUCAAUAUUUUCUACACUUUAAGAGAAAAAAAUGUCUUUAUGGAAGCUCAUUGAAGAUGUUACGUUGUGUGAAUGUUGGGUUCACACUACUCAUGAUCCGAUUACAGGUAAUGAGAUGGAUAAGCGAGAAAUGUGGAGUAAAAUUACGAAAGCGUUUUGUGAUGUACAUGGAGAAAACGCCAGAACUAGUCAAGGUCUUCAAGGUCGUUGGAAAAAACUCAACGCAUCAUUUACUUGUUGGAAAAACGCCAUCUCUCAUGCUUCCGGUAACCUCCGUAGUGGGACAAGUUUAGCGGAUCAGGUGACAAUAUUUUUAUUUAUUUAUAUGCAUUCCACUCACAUUAAUAUUUUGAUUUAUUUAAUUUCGUAUGUAAUUUUUAUCUUAUUUCUUAUGUAAUUUUUAUGUAAUUUUUAUUUAAUUUCUUAUGUCAUUUUUAUGUAAUUUAUAUGCAUUCCACUCACAUUAAUAUUUUGAUUUACUUACUUUCGUAUGUAAUUUUUAUCUUAUUUCUUAUGUAAUUUUUAUGUAAUUUUUAUUUAAUUUCUUAUGUCAUUUUUAUGUAAUUUAUAUGCAUUCCACUCACAUUAAUAUUUUGAUUUACUUACUUUCGUAUGUAAUUUUUAUCUUAUUUCUUAUGUAAUUUUUAUGUAAUUUUUAUUUAAUUUCUUAUGUCAUUUUUAUUUAAUUUCUUAUGUCAUUUUUAUGUAAUUUAUAUGCAUUCCACCCGUAUUAAUAUUUUGAAUUUAUUUAUUUGUGUUACACCCGCAUUUUUUAACACUAUGUUAUCCCACAUUUUUAUAGACACUACAAGCUCAAGCAUUCUACAAUUCAAAGAACGGGAACAAAUCAUUCACUAGAUGGGAAUGUUGGCAAAUUGUCAAAGAUUGUCCUAAAUACAAAAUUGUGGCAACUGGUCCAGAAGUUGUCAUGCACGGUAUGGGUCUACAUAGUUCUCCAGAACCAGACAUGGCCGAACAAGAAGCCGACACAUUUCAAGACACGGAAGGGAUGCCUGAACAAGUGCCCGAGACCCAACCGACUCGUCAGUCCCUCAGGCCCGUAGGUAAAAAGGCGUCAAAGAAAAAAGGUAGUUCUUCCAAGAAUGACUACACUAAAUAUAUGGAGGAACUUACUCGCCAAGGUGAACUGAACAUGGCACGAGAAAAGGUUAGAGAUGAGGAAAAAGUUGCUGCUAUGGCAGCAAUAUUAGUAGCUACUGAGGCCCGUGAUGCGGCAGCUGAGAGACAAAGAGAAGUAGUUAAUCGAGAGAGCGAGCUGGUUAGAGAAGCACUUCAUCGAGAAAAUGAAUUGCUUCGAGAAGAAAGGAUGGCUCAAGCAGAUCGUGACACUAUGAGCAAGUCUCUAGUAGGACUGUCUCCGAAUUCUAAAUAUUUUUGGACUUCGGAAAAAAGAGAUGUCAUGCGAAGGAGGCGUGCAAGAGAUGCGGAAACAAGUCAAGGGGGUUCUAGCAACUUUUGUGACAACCAAGAUCCUCGCACCACAUAUCCUAACUCGAGAGACUUUGUAUAAUUUUUAUUUUUUUUUUAUGUUUUUUCUUUCUUUUUUCUUUUGAACUUUAUUUAAUUUCUUAUGUUUUUUUCUUUUUUUAGGUUUGAACUUUAUUUAAUUUCUUAUGUAAUUUUUAUGUUAUUCCUUAUUUAUUUUAAAAACUUUAUUUAUUUUUAUUUAAUUUAUUAUGCAAUUUUAAUGUAAUUCUUUAUUUAUUUUUAAAACUUUAUUUCUUUUGUACUUUAUUUUAAACACAUGAAAUAAGAUUACAUAAACUCACCAAAUAAAUUUUAAAAACAAAACACACUACAUAGAAUUACACAAACUCACCAAAUAAAUAGAAUUACAUAAACUCACCAAAUAAACUUAAAAACAAAACACACUACAUAGAAUUACAUAAACUCACCAAAUACAUAGAAUUACAUAAACUCACUAAAUAAACUUAAAAACAAAACACACUACAUAGAAUUACAUAAAACUUAAAAAAAAUACAAUUUAUUCUUCAACCACAAAGCCUCAUUCUAAUUAUCUUCGCCUUCAUGCAAUCCCCACUGGUGCUCAAUCAAGUCAUUCUGGCGGGUUACGUGCCAGUAUGGCUCUUGCACAUUAGUGUAACGUUGAACGAUCAAUUCAUUGUAACGUCCAUCGCGUUCCAACGGCUCGUGUUGCACUGGAUCUUCGGUCCCAUCAUGAGCACAAUAAAUACGUGUUCUUGAGUUGUUUCAUCGGAUCCGGCUCAUAUUCAUCGACGCCAUCAUAAUCAUACUCAUCUUCAACAAUCAUGUUGUGGAGAAUAAUACACGUCAUCAUGAUGGAUCGAAGAGCCUCGACAUCAAACAUUCUAGCUGCAGCCCUGAUAAUCGCCCAACGAGCUUGUAGGAUACCAAAAACAACGCUCGACAUCCUUCCUACACCCUUCUUGACAUUUUGCAAAGUGUUUUUCCUUUUCAGUCUGUGGAUGUGGCACUGUUUUGACAAAUGUUGACCACCUUGGGUAAAUGCCAUCUGCAAGGUAGUAUGAUCCCUCGUAUUGGGUACCAUUAAUGGUAUAUGUGCAUCUCGGCGAGUUUCCUUGCAGCAGUUCGUCGAACAAUGGGGAUUGGGCAAGGACAUUUAAGUCAUUCUGAGCUCCUGGAACACCAAAAAAGCAUGCCAAAUCCAUGUAUCAAAUGAAGCCACCGCUUCCAAAAUGAUGCUUUUGGCUCCUUUUCUGUUGCCAUAUGCUCCUUGCCACGCACUUGGACAGUUUUUCCAAGUCCAAUGCAUGCAGUCCAUGCUUCCAAUCAUGCCAGGGAAGCCUCGCAUCUCACCCUUCCUCAGAAGCCUUCGCAUGUCCCUUGGCGUGGGUGUCCGGAGGUACUCUUUGGUGUAGAGGGCUUCAAUUGCAGAGCAAAAACGCAUCAGGGACUCCAAAACAGUUGUUUUUCCCAUCCUCGCGAUCUCAUCCACUUGAUCUGCAGAUGCUCCAUAUGCAAGCAUUCGCAAGGAUGCCGUAAUUUUUUGCUCGGGAAUAAGACCUAGAACAUGAAAAGCAUCCUCUUUUUGCACAAAGUAUGAAUCAUGGUUGCAAAUAUCACUCAUGAUUUUGUUGAACAAAUUUCGUUGCAUUCUAAAACGCCGUCUAAAAAUAUGAUCAGGGAAUAUGCUAUUGGGAAUAAAAAUAAUCUUCCAAUAGAUUUUUACCUCGUUUUUCCCUUUUUCUAUCGAGGUUUGCAACACGUCUUGGUUUGGCUAUCUGACCCACGACUUCCAUGACAAGGCGGGAAUGUGAGGCCUUCUGCCUUCUAUGGUGAUCAUCCUCAUCCUCCUCCAUGAAGAAAGCCUCAUCUCCACCUCCACUUCCACCUUCCUCGAGAUUGGCCAAUUCUGCCUGUUGUGCCAACAACCUUUGUUGUUGCUCCUGCAACUGUUUAUACACCAUUCUUGAAGAAGACAUUGUAAUAAGAACUUAAGAUUUGAAAACGAUAAUAAGAACUUAAGAUUUGAAAACGAUGAACAAGGAUUCUGAGCUAAAAAGAAUGAUUGAGCUUGGUGUGAGGAUGGAUGUAGGGAUGUAGGGUUUAUAUGGACAAAAAAAGAAAGGAUGAGGUUCUGGACAAUGCCACGUGGCACUACGUGAUUGGUUGAAAAUCUUAUCGAAAUCUUGGCUAAAUUAUUGUAAACCGGAAGUGACACGUGGCAUGUCGGGAUUGGUCGAAAAUAUUAUCGGGAAUCUAUCCACAAAAUAGUACGUUCAGAUAAUGACACGUGGCAUGACGUGAUUGGUUGAAAAUCGUAUCGAAAUCUUGGCUAAAUUAUUGUAAAAUGGAAGUGACACGUGGCGUGUUGAGAUUGGUUGAAAAUCUUAGCGGAAAUCUAUUCACAAAAUAGUACGUUCAGAUAAUGACAUGUGGCGUGACGAGAUUGGUUAAAAAUCCUAUCCGAAAUUAAAACUAUUUUAUUUUUUUAUUCUUUUAGACAAAAUUUAAAAAUAUCUUAAAUGGGCUGGGUGCCAGCGCAUUUUGUAAGGAUGGAGAUCGUUUGUGCCAGCGCAUUUUUUUAGGGGUGGAGAUGCCUUGGCCUAUUACUGUUCAUUGGAGUCUGUUACUGUUCAUUUGAGUGGAUAAAUACGCUGGGUGCUGGCGCAAAGUCCUUAGGGAUGGAAUUGCUCUAAUACAGGGGAAAAGUUCCAGUCGUCCAGCUAGGCUAAACAAAACAGAGCUGUACCUCAUAGUAUUACAUGGCAGCAAAGAAAAUGAAUACCAAAAUACAUCAGCCACUCCAACCAUAAUAAAAUAUAGCUGGACAGUAAACUCUGAAGAUACUGAAGCCCAAGGGGAAGCCAUAAAACCAACUCAUUCCACUAACAACCCAACUCAUCCCGUGUUCCUCCAAAUAUUAGGAGCUUGAACUUCAUGACACAAAUAAAAUAACCUAACCAAAAAACCCUGCCCAGGAUUUUUCCUUUUGGCAAUUCUGAUAAAAGCUUUUGGUAAGACUAAUCCUGAAGCUCCAUUUCCUUCCAGUGGCAUACAUAUAAAGUUUGGUCCAGCUGGUUAGUUGACCUAUUAGAGAUUUUAUUGGCCAAACAUCAACAUACUAGAAAAUACCUAAAUCAUAUCAUAAUAUCAAUCUGCAUGUUAUCAGCCACAGAAACCAAAAUGAGUCCAGUUUCAGAAAGUAUUUUGUGAUUCAGAGGUUUCUUUGGGGAGGUUCAAAAUCUUUUAAGAUAUACAAGAGAUUGACUUUAUAUAAGAGAAAAAUAUAUUUAACAUUAUCACUCCUAAUCAGUCAAUUUUUAUUUUGGACAGGAAACCUAGAAAAAAUAAAGCGAGAUCCAGCACCUUUGUCCAAUAGGACACGUGGCCCGCAAACAGAAAACAAGGGGGCCGUUCAGUGUAUCCAAUGGCCCACAAAAAAAAAAAGAAUGAUUAAUUGAGUAAUUUAUAAUAGAAAAAAAGAAAAUAAAAAGGGGCAUGUGCCCCCACGAGGCCUUAGCUCCAUCCGUCCAUGCGUCUAGCUUUGUCAAACUGAAAAUGCAAUAAAGUAAAAUAAUGUUUGUUUUUAAAAGCAAUAAUUUUGUAUAAAAGCAUCGGUGCCAUAUUCCUUGAUUGUAUUUAAAGGAUCUAUUACAUUCCCCAAUGUUUUCGACAUCUUUCGACCGUGAAAUAAUCAUUGCAUUAUUUCAUAUGUCUGAAUAUCAGACACAUAAGAGUAGAGUACAACUAGAGAAUGUAGUAAACAGUAGUUUAUAGCAAUGUUUUCAGAGGUGAAUGUAUAAGUAGUUUAGGGUCUCAAGGUGAGGCGUAAGCCUUUCAGUUUUUUUUUUUUUUUUUCUGUAAUAAUCAAAAUAAUAGUAUUGGAUUUUCGGUUUAAUUUUAAUGGUUCUUUAAAUUUUUGUGGGCCCAAGAAGAUUUCUGUGCAUUCAAUUCAGCUAGAAUGUCCGUUUGGGAGUUCCAGUAACAGAAAUCCAUUCAAACGGCUACGUUUCACAUUUAGGACAACACGCCAUCCUCUCUCUUUCUCUCUCUCUCUCUCUCUCUCUCGUCAGAUCUGGUGCGAGUCACCACUUACAUUUGUGUUGUGUACGCUUUUCUGACUUUUUGCUUAAUUAUGCUAGACCAUUUUGAACCAACAAAUUAUUCCAUUCAAACGGCUACGUUUCACCUUUGUGUUGGGUACGCUUUUCUUGACUUUUGCUUAAUGAAGUGCCCAAUUAUACGAAUGACCAUUUUCUGCUACAAGGCACGCAGAGGCCACACCAUUUUGUGUUAAUUCUCACCCACAAAUUAUUUAAGAAUCAACCAUGCAUGAAUUGUGAAAUGCAAAUGGUAUCUUAUCAGAAAUUUUGUUGAAAGCAAUCUGUAAUAUAAAAUAUUUAAAAAAAUCCAAGAAGGACAAUCCGAUAACCGUGCUAAUAAUAUUUUCAAUAAAGAGACAAUCAUACUGAAAAGAAAACUAAAAGGAAAGAAAAGAGAGAGCAGAAUCACCAAUCACCAUAAUAAAAAAGUUUACAAACCUUCCAAAUUUUAGUAAUAACCUAUCGCAAUUAGUGAUAAAUCUACACCCCCUUGCUCAAAGGGGACAACAGUCCCAAAUAUUGGAAAUGGACUGGGCUUGAAGAACAAAUCUAGAAACAAUUAUGUCCAUUAAGAAACCAAGAGCCAUACUAAAAUUUAUGAGAUCUAGGAGAAGCAUCCCUAAAAGAGAAGAUGGUUAGGGCUGGUUUGGUAUUGUUGUGUUUUGAAAAAAAAAACUGCUUCUGCUGUUGUGAGUAAGGGCGGAGCCAAGAACAAGGCUCCCCUAGGCUAUAGCAUAGGGAGAGUUUGGUUCUUCAAACUUAAAAAUAUUAAUUUUUGGGUUAGUUUGUGAUUUUUAAUUGUCAUAUUCCACUUAACAAAUAAUUUUUUUUUAGUAGUAAGGUUGUUUUUAAGAAUAAUAACAGCUAAUAGAUGUUAAAUAAACUCAUCACUUUAACCAAUAUUAUAUUUAAUACUAAUAAAUUAAAACUUCCAUAUCACAAAUGGUUCCUUAUUUUAUUCACUUGAAAGCUUUGAAGGCUAAAAACCUAGAAAAUAUAGCAUAAAAUUCUUGCUUCAAAUUAUUAGAGCAAUUCCACCCCUGUGGACUUUGCGUCAGCACCCAGCGCAUUUAUCCACUCAAAUGAACAGUAAUAGACUGGAGUGAACAGUAAUAGGCCAAGGCAUCUCCACCCCUAAAAAAAUGCGCUGGCACCCAGCGCAUUUAUUUGGUGUGUUUUUUUUUUAAGUUUAUUUCGGAUAAGAUUUUUAACCCAUUUAAAAUAAAGAAUAAAAAAAUAAAAUAGUUUUAAUCUCGUCACGCCACGUGUCAUUAUCUGAACGUACUAUUUUGUGAAUAGAUUUCCGAUAUUAUUUUCAACCAAUCCCGACACGCCACGUGUCACUUCCGUGGUACAAUAAUUUAGCCAAGAUUUCGAUAAUUGAAAUGUGGUGUAAAGGUGAAAGAUGAGGGUUAGGUAUUUAUAGGAAAAAAAAUAACAUUUUUCAAUUAUUUCUGUAAUUUUUUUAAAAUUUUCUGUAUUUUUUAAUAAUUUUUCUGUAUUUUUUAAUAUUUUUUAAUGAAUUUUAAUAUAGUUAAUUAAUCUGGACCGUUGGAUUUGAAAAAUAUUCAAAUCCAAGAGCCAGGGACUUGCCACGUGGCCAACGGUCAUAUUUCUGACCGUUGGGGCCUUUUUUUUUUUUUUUUUUUUUUUUACUUUUUUGUAAAAAGAACGUGGACUGUUGAUUUUUGAUCUGACGGUCCAUGUUAAAAGUAAAAUUUAAAUUUUUUUUACCGUUGGAAAUCCAACGGUCUAGAAAACUAGCCGUUGGAAAUCCAACGGCACUGAGGAGGGCCACGUAGCCCUAUUCCGGGUUCUCCACAAGUGGGCUGACAAGCGGGCCCCCCCCCGCUUGCAACUCGAUUCCCUACUCGCGCUUCUGCGCGCUUGUGUUGCACGCGCCUUCUAAACAGGCCGGUCUCUGGGUCUGUCCGAAAUAGGCUGGCCCGUUGCCCAGCUUGGGCUGUGUCCCAGGCUCUUUCGCGGGCUGGAGCAACUUGACAAGGGGCUGGGCUGUUUUUUGGACUUGGUGCUGGGCAAUUUCCACUGGGGUGGAAUUGCUCUUACAUUCAAUUUUUUACUAUUAUAUAACUUUAUGUAGGCAACAUAGGAUUAAAAAUUUGAUUUUGAAGUAACAAUUUUAGCUUAGCCCACCCACCGAAUAAUUUCUGGCUAUGCCAUUGGUUGUGAGAUGAGGAAAGUACAGGAACCUGAGGGAAGUAGGUGUCUAGGAGCUAGGUAUGGACGGAGAGGUUUACGGAGGCCAAAAAAUCAAUAUUAAAUGCAGCCAUACAUGGGAAAACGAAGACAGAUGGCAGGCAAAUGCUUAGCUUGGGAUGCACAUACCCAGUUUCAAGCAUUGUUGUAGGGUAAAACCGCUUAAAAUCCUCAAUUGACUCAUCUGGCCAUCCAAGAGUACUGAAAGGCCACAGUGCACUGUGAAAAGGAAAAUAUGAUAUAUUUAGUCAAACUACAAAACAUCACAAAUAUAUGAAACCUUGAUGUGGAUUUAAAAAAAAAAAGACCAAGUAUACAUUAAUUGUGAAAUCAAAAGCUUCCACAUGUAACAGAAAGAAAACACUAGAAAUUUAAUAAAAACUAUCGUACCUAAAACAAUGCUCAUUCUUUUGUUAAAUACACCAAUAUGCUGCUUCAUUGCUUACAAAUCCAAACAUAAUGAAUCAGAUAUUAGUUAGGUUUAGAAGUUACCAAAUUAGUUCGGUAUUUUAGUUUGAAAGAUCAUGUACAAGUACCAUUACAACUACACAAACAGUCAUCUUGGUCUCAUAAUCCCUUCAAACAACUGCGUUAAAACUGUAUCCAUGGGUUAAGACAAAAUUGCAAAAUAGGGCAUGUUAAAUCUCAAAUCCUGGAAGCGUUGGCUAGAGUCUUCAAAGUUUUAGGUAUUCUAUGAAAGAAAAUAGUAAAGUCCCUCUUACCAAGAAUGACAAUGUCAGUCUCCGUGUGUAAAUUUCAUGGAAAUUAAUUUUAAAGCAUGAAACUUUGUACGAACAAUUCGGAAAUGCUAGACCAAUUAAUAAUGCAUCAAUUAAACAUGGAUUUCAUGAUAUAAGACACACUGGAUGAAAAUAGAUUGUCCCAUUGCCAUCACAAGUACAUACACAAAUUUGAAACUUAUUGCGCAAGAACUUCUUGAUUUCAUGGAGCAUGAUUGAGUAUAAGCAUUCUAAUGGAUAUAUUUAAAAUCUUUUGUUGUUUCCUUUGGUGACUGGACGAGGUCUAUUUAAUGACAUCUCCUAGUUCUAAUUCUUUUUCCUACCUCCACUCACCACUUGAGCUAACAUCCUUUUAUAUUCUACAUAGCACAGAACAUGGUAAUAUUUGGAUAACCUACCCAAAAUUUAGGCAGCUUUCAUAUUGUAAAAGUAAAGCGGGACUUUUCAGAGUUUCUAGAAAACAAAUUUCACAAAAACUAUUAACUGGCAAUCCCGUAAGCAACAAACCUCGAAAACCAUGUGUCAAGAACAUCCGGUUCCUGAUAUAUUUUUGCAUCUUUUCCAUACUUCUCUUGAGCUUUCCCAAGAGCUUCAUCCUCACUCCUUGCAACUAUAUAUUCUUCUUCACAAUCUUUACCCACAAUGUACAAAUUUAUAGGCAGUCUACAGUGAAGGCAGAGUAGCGUGCAAAUUGAGAAGAGAAACUGCAACCACAACAAGUUCAUGUGGCCCCGGAAUUGCCACACACAAACAUACAAGAACGAAGAUUCAUGAAAGGAGGGAGAGUAACGUUUUUAUCAUUUAUGCAUUAAUUGGAUUGAAAUUUUUUGAAAAAUUGUCAAUUUUAGGGGGCCAAGUUUUUUUAACUUGUUAUAAUUCUGACAAAAAAACUUAGGUAAAAAGUCUUCCUUAGUAAUAUUAAUUUCUCUCUUCUCUUCUGCUCUCUUAUCUCACAAGCUUGAGCCGCUACAAUUGUUUCGAUAAUCGGGCAACAAGCCCUAGUCCUAGUCCGUCAACAGUCCUUUGCUCAUCCUUUCUGGGACCAUUCCACAGUGCCAAAAACCUUUGUGAUGUUUAUCCAUGCAAAUAACUCAACUACUGAUACAAUAAGAUGCGCUUCCGGCCACGGAAGUUAAGAAUUCAAAAGCUGAUACUGCACGUUGUCCUUUUAGUAAGCGAAAAAUCAUCUUUAACUCAAAAAUUACGAUCAGGGGAGCAAUACAUUGGUUUAGUCCUAGGAAAACAUUGGCUUAGGAUAAGAUCAUUACAGGAUACGUGUUGGGUAAUUUUUUGUUUUUGCAGUUCGUGGGUUUUAAUGUUUCGGGAAAAUUUUGAUACUUGUGGUUCUGGAUAAGGAAAAGAUCAAAAUUUUGGGUUAUUCUGCUAUCUGCACUCACCACUGGAGUGAGGAUGCACCCACAAUGGUACCAAACUGGUAUUCGAUGACCCCACCACAGUUGUCUGCUUAUGCACCAAUCUACCAAACUGGUAUUCGAUGACCCCACCACAGUUGUCUGCUUAGCCAGUGAUUGUAAAUCUGUUAUUUAAUAGAAGGCACAGAUGUGAGUGAAAGGAUAUAGCAAAUCUCUCCGGGUAAGCUUCUGCCUUAAUGGGGAAGAGAACUUCUUGUUGCAUUAUUGACAUAAGGUACUCAAUUAAUCAAUUAUGCUUCUGUCACUAAAUUUUCUCUUUCUGAUCACAUGCUUUCUAAAAGCCUAAAAAUUAAAAAAAGAAGAAAAAACAUAGCUUUUCUUUUUGUACUUAAAAGCUCCAACUGCCAAGACAUUUACACAGUACGGUCUUGCAAGAUUGUAGUCAUCAUUAUCAGGUCCAGGGCUUAUCUUUAGCACGCGCUUAUCUUAGCAUGCACUCACAUGCCGGCCAAACAAUUAAUGGUCCACAAAGGCUGCGGGCAGUCAAGGCAUAUAGUGGACUGGAAAUACAAAAACAAAUGUUUACCAAAAAAAAAACAAAAACAAAAAUCUAUCUUCCGGUUACAUUACACAUUUUCUGAUUACAAAUGACUCCUUAUAAAGACGUACAGCAAUAAAGCCCCAGACAGCAGGCCAUGCACCACUGUCUGCAGAAAAUAUAACGACGUAAUUUGCAUAAUCCUCUUGAUUCAGUUACCAAAUCAGAUUCUUCCUCAGAAUUCUAUUUUACUUUUUCACUUUUCAGAACAUUCUUCGUAUAUUACUUUGCACAAUCAUAGGAUUCUAAUUAAGAUACGUUGUAGCCAUUCAAUUAAUACAUUUAGAAUAUCGAUCAUCCUGCAUGACAUUAUAAAACAUUAGAAACCAUUCCGUCUAACAGCUAGUAUAGCAAUUAGUGUUUUAGUGUCCUUUGGCUAAGAAGAAUAGAAAGAAAAACUAUAAAAUGUGGGUAAGGUAAAACAACUGACUGAAUAAGGAAGAAAACAAAGAUAACUAUGUAAACACAAAGAUAACUAAAUAAGGAAGAAUACAAAGAUAACUAUGUAAACACAAGCUUAGGUUUCAUGUUGUAGAAUUCAGAAAAUUAAACAAUAUAGGCACAGACCUAAGACCAUUGUGCAUGUACCCACUUUUUUAAGUAAACAAUUCAUGAAUAAAAUCUAAAUAUUUUAGCACCAAUUCAUUAAUCUAGGCCUUCACAACAAAGCCCAGGUUAGGAAUUUAUAUAAAAAGAUUAGGUAAAUAGAUGUUGGUCCAAAGUCAAAAGUAAUGUCUAAAUAUAUUUUACCCUAUAACCUUUCUAAAUUGCUUAAACAUUAUUUACCAUAAAAGAAUUGUCAUCACCUGGUCAAUCCAUAAAGGAAGCCACAAAUGUAAUAGCUACACGUCACCAAAUAAUGUCUCCGUACGUUGCUGCCUCUGUCUAUAUAUCUCUUAUUAGACUGCUAGGCAAAGUACCAAACAGAAACAGAAAGGCUCUAAUUCUCUCUCAUCAGCCUCUCUCUCUAGAAAGUCUCUCUCACUGUGUUUGCUGCGAUGUCAAAGACCGAUUUGGUUUCGGAAGGCUCGGGACUCGGCGCUACCGGCACCAUGGAGGAGCUGAAGAAGAACUUCGACAAGUUCGACAAGAACGGUUUCGCGACGGUCUCACUGGAGGAGGUCCAGCGCAUUAUGGCUGAGAUCGCCAAGCACGGCGACGGUCACAUUGACGUCGGGCAGCUCGCCGGGAUCAUCAAUGGCGGAUCCACCAAGAAGCUUCCCAACGCGUUCGACCUUUACAAUCUCGCCAAGAAUGGGCUAAUCUCCACGAGUGAGCUGCUUGAGGUGCUGAAGCGGUUGGAGAAGAAGUACUCGCUCAUGGAGGAGGUCCAGCGCAUUAUGGCUGAGAUCGCCAAGCACGGCGACGGUCACAUUGACGUCGGGCAGUUCGCCGGGAUCAUCAAUGGCGGAUCCACCAAGAAGCUUCGCGAGGCGUUCGACCUUUACAAUCUUGCCAAGAACGGGCUAAUCUCCACGAGUGAGCUGCUUGAGGUGCUGAAGCGGUUGGAGAAGAAGUACUCGCUCAUGGAGGAGGUCCAGCGCAUUAUGGCUGAGAUCGCCAAGCACGGCGACGGUCACAUUGACGUCGGGCAGCUCGCCGGGAUCAUCAAUGGCGGAUCCACCAAGAAGCUUCCCAACGCGUUCGACCUUUACAAUCUCGCCAAGAACGGGCUGAUCUCCACGAGUGAGCUGCUUGAGGUGCUGAAGCGGUUGGAGAAGCAGUACUCGCUCAAGGACUGCGCGAAGAUGAUCAGCUCCGUCGACACCGACGGCGAUGACCACGUCAACUUCGCUGAUCCCGGCGCUGCCGGCACCAUGGAGGAGCUGAAGAAGAACUUCGACAAGUUCGACAAGAACGGUUCCGAGACGGUCUCAAUGGAGGAGGUCCAGCGCACCGAGUUCAAGAAGAUGAUGACUCGAGAAAGUCCUCGCAAGGAGGUUAUGUCCGAGAAAGUCGGAGCUAAGGAGUCUGGGAGAUUUUGCGUUCUAAACCAAGGGUUUGGAAUGACAGGAGAUCGUGACAGAGGAGCCAGCUUUGCGUGCGAACAGAAAGGUAGUGAAGUGAAGGGAUUGUGUAGUGGGCUGGGUUUAAUGGAGGACUCGGAUACGAAAGGGAAUAUGGAGGAACUAGGGCAGACUUUGGGAAGCAAACUUCUCCUUACUGAUAAGGAGAAGGAGGGAGUGGUGAUUGAGAAGAAGGAUGUGGAAGAGGCGCUGAUAGGGUUUCCUUUUACCCUACUGGCAGAUGUAUUAACUGAGAGGACUGUGAAUGUGGAGGCUUUCAUCAACCGGUUCACAUCACUGUGGUGGGGGACGGAAGGGGUCUCUAUUCAGGAUUUAGGUGACCGGCGGUUUCUGAUCGGAUUUGUGGCUAAACGUGACAUGCAGCGAGUGAUAGAAUCCGAUUUCCCUUGGACAUUCCGGAAUGAUUUUGUACUGGUGGCUGACCGUACAAACAGGCGCGAUGCACGGUGGGAAGAGAUGUCAAUGGGUGAGAUGUGGGUGCAGAUUCAUAAGGUGCCACCAUUGAGCAUGACGGCUGCGGUUGCUAAGGUAAUAGGGGGAGGGAUUGGUAUGGUGAUCUCUGUGGACAGAUCAGCUAGUCGAGAAUGUAUUGGUAGGUUCUUAAGGGUUCGUAUUCAGCUUAAUCUGCGAGAACCCUUGAUGCGGGGAAUGGUGGUCACGUUUCCGGAUGAAGGUCGAGUUUGGGUUCAAUUUAAAUACGAAGGAUUGCCUAACUAUUGUUUCUAUUGUGGGAAAUUAGGCCAUGUGAGUGGGGUGUGUAAGGCACAGGUAAAGCGCGGAGUGCAAGGAAUGGAGGAGGGUGAGGAACUAUUGCGACAAGGGAGGUCACUGCCAUAUGAGGGUUUGAAGGCUUGUAUGGAUUUACGGGGGACUGUUCUGCGAUCACCGUCGUGGAAAUCUAAGAGUCCGAGUAUGGGGGAAGGGAGUGGGAGAACAGUGGAAUCACGAAGGGAUGGGGACAUGCAUCACGAGGGGAUGCAGGGGGUUUGGCGUACGGGGGCUAGGGGAGGGAGAGUGGAACAGGCGAGCAGACGGGUGGGGAAUAACCGUGACGGUGAUGUGGAGGACACAGACUCUUCACCUGGGGAAAAAGAUAAGUAUGAUUGCCCGGUUAAGGAGGGGAGUGGGAAUCGGGGAGAUCUACGGAACCAGCGCCGGGUAGUAGAAGAAGAGGCACGAAAGGAUGCGGGACUAAUUGGACGGGGAGGGAUAGUGGCGCCAGGUAUUGAGAAUGUGGUCUUGGUUGAGUCUGUUGAACCUGUGAGGACAAUGGAGGGGGGUGCGGACGGGAACCAGAGAGGCUUACAGGUUGAUUUGAACGUCCCGGUCGAGAACCAGAGAGGCUUACAGGUUGAUUUGAACGUCCCGGUGGGCAUGGAGGAGGGUUUGGACGGGAACCAGAGAGGCUUACAGGUUGACUUGAACGUCCCGGUGGGCAUGGAGGAUGAAGACCACUCCGUUACGAUGCAGCAGCUGAGUGGCAUGGAUGGGGUGACACAGGUGAAUGUUGUGGUGCAUGAGGAGGCGGAAGGAAAGGUUUACAAUGGGACUCAAGAUUCGGAUCCUUUGGAGCUGGGUCCUAUUAUUGAUGUCAGAAGCCGAGAGAGUAGGAAACGAAAGCGCAGAAUUGAAGAAGUGGAGGGGACGGGUGGGGAUGUUACUAGUACCGGUAAUAAGCGAGCUCUUAUUUUUACUGUGGCGGAGAAGACCAGCCGUGAAGGGUCUUCACGGCCGCCAUGAAAAAAAAGAUCUUGAGUUAUGAUAUCGUGCCCACAAGAUUAUCCGUGUCUAAGUAGUCAACGGCGACAGUUAACUAUGCGUGUUAUUUGAUUUGCACGAACAACCCUUUUACUCGCAUCUUGUUCCACAGAUAUCAGUACUGAUGCUUUUUAGUUGUGUAUUAGUUGUAAAGGUUGUUCCGAAGUCAGAGAACUGAGUUGUAAACUUGUUUGAAUAUUACCUCUUAAUUAGAUUCUCCUUGUAUCAAUCAACUGCAACUUCAUCGCCCUCGGGAUCAUUCAUGUUCUUGACGCGGAGUUCAACAGCCCUCAGAUCCCUUAGAUGUUGCAAAAUCUCUUGGAGAAGAUCCACCCCUUUGUCUCCCUUCUUUAUGGAGCUCAUGCAGUGCUUUAGAAACUCCCUGUCUGCUUCAAGAGUUUGUAGCCUCUCAUAAACAUGAUCCACCUCCUCUUCAAUGGCUAUUUUGCCAUCAUUCAACUCAAAAUUGGUAAUUGAGUUCCGCAUUGUUUCAAUAGAUUCUGAUCGAUCAAUGUGUUCUUCAUGAGUUAACCCUUCUUCGGUUUCAUUGUCGGUUGCAUCCAAAAGCGGAAGCAGUCUUUUUACCAUGGAACCCAAUGUCUUUCCCUCGGGUUGAUGUUUAUCCUCCGAAAAUCCCUUCGACGUCCCAUUUUCCUCUGGACUGCUAAAAUCAUGAUUCUCUUCGAAGUCUUUGAGACUAUACGCGGGGGAAUGCUCAACUAAUUUAAAGUCAUCGCCCAAUUCCUCAUUUGCACCCAACGUGAUUAGCUUCUCCUCCAAGGCUUUGAGCUGAUCCAGAAUGGACAGCCUCUCUUCCUCGAACCCUGCUAGCGAUUCAUCAAGAACACUCAUAUUUUUAACACAAUCCAGAGCUAAAUCUUCCAAACUCAGACCUGCAUCAUCUGUAGUAUUGUUGUUGUUGUUGCUUUCUUGAAGGCCACCGAAGCCACUUUCUUCGUCCCUGGAUUCAACAUUAAGGUCAAUCGAUAGCGCAUCACUAUCCCACGACUGGCUGCAAGAAGCAGAAGAAUUCCUACUUUUUACACUUCCAUAUUUAAUUCUGCUCAUGAUCCUUAUCUUCUCUUUUUCCUCAUAAUCUAGGACUUUCUUUUGAUAUAUUUCCAGCUCUCUCUCGAGUUCUUGCUUUUCCUUCUCCUUCUUGUUCAUCAAAUCAUUCAAUAGUUGUAAGGCAUCCUGAUCGUACUCGGAUUGUUCUUCCAUCAUCCUCUGGUAUUGCAAUGCCUCCAUUUGCAUUGCUGCCUUCUCUUCUUGAAGCCUUGUUAUCAUAGCCAUAGUCUGGUUGGCGGCAAUUGCAGACGCACUCCUCUCUUGCUCUAGUUCUGCGUACAAGGAACUUAUAGCUUUACGCUCAGCUGUCAAAGCUUCUUUGAGCCGUCCAAUCGUUGUAAAAGGAUCUCCAUCUUCCAUCUCACUGACCCCACUUCCAUCCAAAUACUCUUCUACCGCCGGCUCUUUUUUUUCACCCGGUUUCUUGUGCAAGGAACAAAGACUGUUUACUGAUGUUGGUGAGUUCGGAAUCUUCUCUUCCUCCGAUUCUUGAUCAUUUUCGAGCUUACUUGUUUCCUCUUUCGGUAUACCUUCUUCAGUGUGCCUUAAACCUGUCAAAAUUAAAUUUACCGUAAACACCAGCUCUUUCUUUUUUAACAAUUACACUACUUGUAGUGCUAAAUGCCUUUCAUCAAAUCAGUUUCUGUAUAUAGGUGGAGAUAUGAUAUGAUUUUGAGAUUUACCGUAUUCACUCUGAUCCGAGAAUGUAUCAGGUACAUUGGCAAUUUCAAAGCACGUCGAAGAAGAACCUUCUUGAGCCCGAGGGUGAUCAGUUUCACGGUCACCCACUUCUGUGCUUGCCAAAUUUCUUGGUAUAAUGUGAUCAACAGAAAUACUUUCUUCUUCAGAUGCUGCAUGGAAUUAAGAAUCAGAAUGCAAAAUAAACUUAUAGCGAAUAAAUUUAGUGAAUAACUACAAUUCUUCUGUACCUGGUGGAUCAUUUUGUUCUUUGUUAUCAGGUUCUUCAAUUCGAACAAAUAAUGUUUGAGCUCCUGGAUCAGUGACAACUUCAUCACAUGGCUUGCCAAGCAAAUCUUGUUUUCCCUCUUCCGCGUCUACCUCAGAAGAGUUAUCAGUAAAACCCCUCGCCAUAUCUAAGCUUUCAACUUCUCCAUUACUUGUGUUAACUGCACUCUCGUUUACCAUGAGUACUAAUGAUGCUUCUCCAGAGAGUUGAGGUCGAGAUCCGAUGUAUGAGUCGGAAGCGAAAUUCACUUCAUGAUGAUCAUGCUCUCUCACCUCUUCCUCUUUUACAUUGCGGAUUCCCUGGUCUACUGUAGUUGAAAAAUCAAUCAACUCCACAGGAAUCAACCGGUGAUUGUGAGCACCGAUCAAACCAUUCUCGGAAGAUAGGGGGAUGAUUUCGAGAGAGUAGUCUUCUUCAAAGCAACACUGAAUGCUAGUAGCACUAGCAUCGGAGGAUUGAUGGACAAGGUUCGAGCUGUUAGAAUCUGACCGCACAAUUUCAAGAGAACCUCCUUUGUUGUCUUCAUCUGCAUCAUUUUUCUGACAUAGCAAUACUGACCUAGACCUCAGACAAUCUUCCACUGCACCACCUCUGAAGCUAGAACUGCAAACAUCCGAAGUAAGUUGUUGCUCGUCUGCCACUCUAUCGUCCUCAUGUUCUUCAUUCGUUGUCUCCAACUCAUAGCCAUUGUCACUGUGAGUUGACAGGCUAUCGGGUUUGUUUGCACUUUGAUACUCGCCUCCAUUGUUUCCAUCAUCCGCAGCCUCUACAGCUGAAUCUCCUUUCCGGGCAUACUCCAAGGAGCCCCAAGAAGGCUCAGACGGUGGAGAACAAGGAAGGGAAAACAUGUUGGAUAUCUUCGUGGCAUGGCUCUCACAUACAACAUCUGUGUAAGAGUUGUUUGAGCUGUUGCCUUGUUCCAAGACGCGAUUGAUUCUAUAAGUACACAACGGGCAAGGCUGUUUGAGACCAAAGUAAUCGGCAAAUUUGGUGAUCAAGUAACUGAGCAAAGAGUUGAGGAGGAGGAGUGCUAUCAAAAUCCAUUCAAGGACAGCAUAGACUAGAAUUACAAUCAACUUCGGGGUGUUCCUGUGCAACAUGGUUGCAAACUUGUUGCCUGCCAUGGAUGGAGAGAGAGAGAGAGAGAGAGAGAGAGAGAGAGAGAGAGAGAGAGAGAGAGAGAGGAAUGCUUCAGCUCUAAGUUGGUUUACAGUAAAAAUUAUGUUUUCUUCUUCAUUUUAUCAAAAAGGGGGAGCGGGGAUCCGUCUUCAGCUUUGGAAAAGGAAAUACGAUUAGAAAGAAAGGUGGUUUGGAAUGUGCGUUAAAGACUAUGAACUAUAAACCCGCGCCCGUAGAAGAAAGUAAAAGUUAUCGGCACAAGUAUUAUGUAAUUAAUUUGUACUUGUUAAUUGUUAAUCAAAUAAAUGCAUACGCUACCUGGGAUUCUUGUUAUAUUUGGAAUAAAAGUGAGAGGCAGGGAAUGAUGAAACAUGGGUUGUCAUUUGUCAACAGACACUCAACAGUGGCAGGCAUGAUAAAAAAGCUAACAAGAAAAAAAGAAAAGUCGAAGAAAAAAGGGAAGGAACUGGAUCUAAUUGGGGGGUUUUUAGAAGUGAUUGCAGGGCCUUUGUAUAAAUAAAGUUGGUUCUAUAAUAUCUUGCUUUUGCUCCUGGGCCUGUGUAUGUUUGCUUUAACUUUUUUAAAAGGAGUAGUGUUACCAGACAUUAUUUUUUACCUUUCACACGUCUUUUUGAAUUUUCGGCUGUUGGAUCGAAUGAGUUGGAGAAGAUUAAAAGAUAACAAUUAAAAAGAAGUAUGUAAGAGGUAAAAAUAAAUAUAUGGAUAUCUUUCAAAAAGUUCAUUACUGGGUUUCAGAAACAUAACAAAUAUCAACCAAACGCUUCCUUGAAAUGUUUAAGGGGCUGAUUUUCACACACUCAUAUUUUGUCCUUUUAUAUUCCCGAUUAUUUACUUUUGGAUUGAAUAAAUGAAAGAUAAUUAAUGGACAAAAAUAAAUAGGAGUGUGCAAGAGGACAAAUGAGGUCUGUUGGAUUGAGUAAAUCAGGAGAAAACUGCCAAGUAUAAACAAAGAUAUAUACAAGGAAUAAUAGGGCGUGCGAUUAUUAUUUCUCGAAUGUGCUAUAACAAAAAAUAAAGCAAAAACGAAAAAGUCGACAGUUACCUAACACCUUAAUAAAUAUCUGUUUUUUUUAAUUUUUUUAGUAACUUGUUGGCUUUGUAGUACAAUAAAUUACAAAAGAUCAAGAGGUCUAGAGUUCGACCAACACUUGAAUCAUCGAAUUGUUACCAGAAAAAUGAAAUUACCCCUAACAGAUAGAAGUACAAACAACACUGAAGAAACUAGUAGACCCACAUGUUAUAGUGGGAUAUGGGUCUCUUGUCUCUUGAAAUAAAACAUGUCGAAGGUUUUAUUGCAAAUGUCCUCCAUAAUUUUGAACAACUGGCUAGAGACCUCACAAGUCGCAAUUCAUGUGCAAAACCACCAACUUGUGGAACAUGACGAUAGAAUCCAUGGAUUUCCAACCCUUAUGAUUACCCGACUCUUUUUCUCCUUUCACACACCGCUUCUUUCUCUGAAUUCGUUUGAUUUCUUUAAUCUAAAUGCUAGAAAUAAACAUGUUGUGUAGAGAAAAAUGGUGCGCGGACACGUCCCUUGGUGAAAAGUUCUGCAAAACUGAACGUUAUAUAAAUUUGUAACACUCUCUGAACUAUAAACCCUAGACAGCAAUUUGAACAAAAUUAAGUAGUUUACUAACAUGAUAGGAUUUGUAGCUAAUGAGACGUCCCAAGUUUGAAUCCCCCAGCCGUUGUGAAUCAUUUGACAUAUAUUUCGAUAAGAUAAGAAAAAGAAUGCAGCAAUUUAUAUAUGUACAGAAUUUAAGCCUCCAUGUGAAUACCUACUCUACAGUUGUAUAACUAUGUCAAUCUGUAUUUGCAUUGUCGUCGGAUUGUUGGCUUUCAUCUUCUCGAAUGGUAUUUUGGUUCAUCGUAAACCUCCAGCUAUCUCCUUCCUCAAUCUUCCAUUGUUUCUUAAGUUCAAAGAUUGCUUUAGAGGCUGCGGCAGCAAUUGCUGGAUUGCUAUCUUCUGCGAGUCUCUGCAAGAAAGGCAUGAGUUUCUGGCAUCAUCACGGCAAAGAAUGAUGAAUACAAUUAUUUAAUUUCCAGCAAACCUGUAAUGCUCCCAUUCCUGCAUUACCAAGAGUCCACAUAGAUGGAGCUGCAGCCAAAGCAUUGGCCACUGCUUGCCUAUACAACAGAAAACAAACAGGUAAGAGUGGAUGAUAUACAAGUCAAGUAGGAGUCGACAGAAACUAAGGAAUCAAAGUUCAAACAGGCUUCCUUGUCGCUGGAAUUUGUUAUAUUACUCGAAAAUAUAUUCAGUAGCACGAUUGUUUUAAAUUAAUGUCAGCGUCAGACUUCUAUUUGGCUAUCUACUGCCUUCUCAUAGGUUAGGAUUAUUAUGCAUUUUACAGUGAAAUGGAUCACAAAUUCGCAAUAUAUAAAAUGACAAACAAAUUCCUAAAAGAAACACAAGUGACACUUUUCUCAGCAUUGUUUCCAAAAAGAGAGGCAAAAUAAUUCCAAGAAGCCUUGUCCAUGCACGUCAGUAAAGUAAAGCAUAUUGCAUGAUUGGCUUUGUACGCUUAAAUCUUAGUUUCACAACACAACAAUACAGACUAAACUGUAAGCUUGUGAGGGAAAAUGUAUGCAUUUGUCACGUUGAAGGGGGUUAAGAUUGUCCAAGGGGCACUAUAAGAUAAGUAAUGCUUGCAUAACUUACCUGGUGUUGACAUCAGGAGAACUUGAACACUCCGCCAAUAACGAUACACUACUUUUACCAUCCAUUGCAUCGAGAUCAAUUAGAGUCGCAAUUAACAGCUCGAGCUACUCCAGAUAGAAAAGAUAAUUUAAAUAAGCGACCCUACAAGCAGUCUAACAUAGUAACAUUAACUGCUAGAUCAGAUCAUGAACAUAAAUACGUAUUUAGAUAUGGACCUCUUCAGGAUCGGUAUAAUCAAUUCCAUCAGCUUCAAAGAAGGCAGAAGCCAUACUCCAGUAAGCUUCCUGUACACAACCAGUCACAUGGUUGUAAUAUCCUGAAUCUCAAGAAAGUAGAAAGAAAGAGAACUGGAGAAUUCCAGGAAAAGGGGACCUGAAUUGCCGUAAUGCGAUCAGUAGAUACUUCUCCAGGAGGGAAAUCAAGACUUUUCCCAUUCUUUUCAAGCAUUAUACGCCCCAGUAUGUCAUUUUCUGAUAUAACACCAUUUUCGCUUUGCAGAGGACUGGAUGUUGACAUGAGAUAUUAUGCUCCAAAGGUGAAUACACAAGUGAUAGAAGGGAUCAAACUACGAAGGAACUUAACAAUCACAAAAGAAACUUACAAAUUGUACAAUUUGUUCACCAUCCUGUCAAGAAUAUUUUUGACAAACUGCAUAUAAUAUGUAAAAAAUUCAGAGAACACAGAGCAACAUAACUAGACAUGAUAAACUAGAAACAUAUUCUCCUACAAGUAUCCUUGAUUAGUAUUGCAAAACAAAAUCAAUUUACCUCCAAAGCCAUUAGGGCAUCUUCCAUUGCACGUUGUUUCGCACGGAGGUCAGCACGGCGCAAAUCAGCCUAAGAGAGUCAACACAGCACCAAGAUGCAUAUUUAGUGCAUUAUUAUCAUCAUUGUAUUUUCCAGACAACUAAAAUUGUUUUCCAUAAGUAACACUGCACUUUUACAAUAUAUAUUUUAUAUACAUACACAUAAUGUAGAAUCGAAUUUCAAAAAACUUGAAUUGUUUUUUAAUUAUACUAGAAUACUAGCAACGGUUUUCUAAGCAUUGGAUGCAGAUUCAUGUACCCUCUCUUGUUUGUACUCUUGUGCAUCAAUCAAGCCCUUAUUUACGUGCAUUUCUUUCUACUUUGACAUCUUUUUCAUUUUCUUGGAUUGUUUCCUGGCUCGCUUAUUUCUAUUUUACACUCUCGUAGUUUAACUACACACACUAAUGGGUAUUAGAAGUAAACUAUUAAACUAUAGUAACCUAGUUAGAGUCAAAUAUACCGCCAGGGCACACUGUUUUCACCUUAUACGUUGCAUAUUCAUCAUUAAUACAUAUUGUAUGAAGCUCUUAUAGUUAAUUGAUGCAUAAUGAAUGAUUUCAAUUUCUUCAAAGUUUCCUUCAAAAUUUCCAUGUUUUGAGACACUACAUCAUGUCAAACAACAGAUGGAACAAAAAGAGUUUCUUUCUGUGAAAAGCGUACCUCUAAGGCUCCGUCACUCCAAUGCUUAUCAGCAGCGGUUUUCAAUCUAGACUCGGCUUUGUCUUUUAAGAUCUGCAGAGGAAUGUUGGUUAUCAAAUUAGUAAAAAGAUUCAAUGUUUUAAUAAAAAGCUGCCCAAAAAAAAAAACUAUUUAUAUUUAGGCCCUAUUUAUUUAUCCCAGAAAAGCUGGGCUUAAAUAUGUUUAAAAAAUAGUUCAGGGCUUAAAAAUAGAGACACCAAAAGUAAGUGUUUAUUACAAGCGUUGCUUUGUGACUUACUGUUAAAAGCCCCUUUAAAUAAUACACAUACCAUAGCAAUAUGAUGAAGGAGCUCGGCUUUCUUCUUCACAUUACGGUCAAUUUUCUCAGUAUCCUUUCUUGCCCGUGCUACAGAGCAGAAGGUCAGGAUAACAACAUCAUAAGUUUCUUGAGAAAGAUGACUGCGUGUUUAGGCAACCAGAAAAAAAGAGAACCAAAUAAUCCAUUCUCCCAUUAAAUAAACAAAAAGAAAUAAGAAGCCAGAAGUUCUAAAAGGAGAAAAAUAUUCAUCCAAGAACAAAUACAAAAUCCUUGGUUGAGUGCUCAUUCCCCAGAAUGAACAUUCGAAGGAAUGCCUCAAAACGUGGAAUCAGCAUUCUCCCAUUUUAUCAUGAUGAGGUGUCCUUAUAUUCUCCUACUCUGCCAGGGCCACUAACUUCCUCAUCUAACUUCAUCUACAUCACCAUACCCCUGUUGCAGGUUUAUCUCCAGUCAAAAGAUUGACCCAUGGUCUUCCAAUCUAAUAACGAUGAAUUACUGCAUUAUGCUAUACACACACGCGUACAAAAUCCUUUUGGAGUAUUUUGGGGUAAACGUGUACAAUGUACUCAACAUCGCAUUGCUAAUUUCUUCUUGUUUGCAAUCAAUUGAUUUGACCUUGUCUUCCAGGCUGAUCUUUAUCCAGAAACUUGCUAUGGAUGACGAAAUGUGCAUUUCACAAGAAUCAGACCUAUGGAACUUACUCCUCCUCCUGGGUUUACACAAUUGAAUACCUCCUCUCCUACAUAAUUGAAUACAUUCUAUCCUAUCGGACAUCUGAACUCAGCAUGUUCUCUUUUUUUCCUUUUAUCUGUUGUUAGUCGUCCUUUGUUCUCUCCUGUCGCAAAGUUCAAAUAACUUUAGUCAUAGCUUUUCCUAAAGGGUAUGUUUCAGAAACUUCCCUAUACCCCAAAGCAGAAUCGUGUGGCUGAGUGCAAAAUGUGGAGACUAUACAGCUUUUGUUCGUUGUUUCUUGAGAGUAUGGCAUAUGGUCAUUCUAACUAUUGCAUACCUCAUUAACCGUACUAGAGGAGUCCUAAAUGGUACAACUCCACUCAAAGUCCUUCAGCCAUGUAGAUAUCACAUUUUUCAGUGGAAAUAUAACUUCAUGAUUGGUUCCAACCAAUGUUUUACACGACUUUUAGCUUUAGAUUAUAUUACUUGUUAACAAAGAAUUUUUUUCUAAAUUACUGGAAUAUGGAUUUUGAAUUUUUGUAACUAUUAAUAAUUCUAUCUGAGAGAAAAGAUGAUAUUCCCGAUAAAUUACAAAUAUGUACAUAUACUUGAGUCAAAAUAAACAAACAAGAGGGAGCCUUCACAAAGGUUGCUUAGGAGAAGUCUCGGCAGUCGGUAGAGCCCCAGAAAGAGAAGGCACCGGAGGGGGAUCAUUCGGAGCCUCAGUACUGGACAGAACCCUAGAAGGAGGAGGCAUCAGAGGUUGAUCAUUUGGAGCUUCAUUACGCGGUACAGCCCCAGAAGACGAAGGCAAUAAAUGCCUUUGGAACAAACCCACAAAUCUGUUAUGAUCAAGUAAAACCUGACCAUCAGAUUCCUUCAUCUGGUCAAGCUUCCUCUUCAUGUUUGUAGCAUAGUCAUGUGCGAGCCGGUGCAACUGUUUAUUCUCAUGCUUGAGCCCUCUAAUCUCCUGUUUGAGACUCAUCACUUCAGCCGCCAAUGAUUCAACUUGGCGGGUUCGAGCAAAUAGGCGUUGUGCCAUAUUAGACACAGAACCUGCACACUGAACACUAAGAGCCAGAGAAUCCUUAACAGCCAACUCAUCAGACCGUUUGGAAAGUAGUCUGUUAUCUUUGGGAGUGAGAAGGUUCCUGGCCACUACCGCAGCGGUCAUAUCAUUCUUCAUCACGGAAUCCCCAACGGUAAGAGGACCAGUAGGGGAGACGAAGGAUGGGCGCCAUAUGUUGUCUGGAGAAGGCGGGGCUGCCUCUUCAACAAGGUUCAAGUCAAAACGACGGUCGGAGGGGCCAGACAUUUUCAAAGGUGUAGAAGAGAGAAGAGGUCGGACAAAUCAAGAUCUUAGAAGUGCAAGAAUGGAGCUUCUACAGGUGGAUAUUCAAGUGUGCUUUGGAACUUAAUGUUAGCCUCUAUAAAAAUCUGCACUCGACGAAGCUUCAGAAAUCGAAGAGGCGUUUGCUUUCUCAAAAGCUGGGCUGCUCAGAGACCACGAGGGUCGAUCUCAGAAAUCGAAGAGGCGUUUGCUUUCUCAAAAGCUGGGCUGCUCAAAGACCACGAAGGCCGAUCUCAGAAAUCGAAGAGGUUUGCUUUCUCAAAAGCUGGGCUGCUCAGAGACCACGAGGGUCGAUCUCAGAAAUCGAAGAGGUUUGCUUUCUCAAAAGCUGGGCUGCUCAGAGACCACGAGGGCCGAUCUCAGAAAUCGAAGAGGUUUGCUUUCUCAAAAGCUGGGCUGCUCAGAGACCACGAGGGUCGAUCUCAGAAAUCGAAGAGGCACCUACUUUUCCAGCCUUGUCAGCACCUGUCCAACGCACACUCAGCUUUGCGGAAAUUAUGGGCAUUUUGUCGAAGAUUUCUGGCGAAGUAGAAAGCACAUGAAUCGUACUGUUCAAUCACCCACUUCCCACACGCAACAGUAGCUCAUGGGUACCACAUAUAACUUUGCCAAAGUUCUCUGACAAAGUUGAGACUACUUUCCCAGCCUUGUCAGCACAUGUCACACGCACACUCAGCUUUGCGGAAAUUAUGGGCAUUCUGUCUAAGAUUUCUGGCGAAGUAGAAAGCACAUGAAUCGUACUGCUCAAUCACCCACUUCCCACACGCAACAGUAGCUCAUGGGUACCACAUAUAACUUUGCCAAAGUUCUCUGACAAAGUCGAGACACGUGAAGCUUGCAACUCUCACUACAUCGCUCUGACCAAGAAGGGUAAAAGAAUAGCAAAGAAACAACACUAACAAAGUUUAGACACAUAAAUUUUGACGGCCUAGCUACCAUAUUAUUACCCACAAGGGUAAAGGAACAGUACCACUGCUGGAUAAUUGGAAAGUCCCGGUGUGUCAACCUCUGUGCUUCAUGGCAAGGUAGACUAGCAAACAUGCCCAACCUUUACUCACAUUCGAGAAAACACUCCCAACAAGAUUGCUUGCCCCAAAAUCGAAGAGGCAUCGCCCUCCGAAUCUCGAGAGCCAGACUCCCAACAUGAUUACUUUCUCAAAAAUCGAAUAGAGGGUAAAGGAACAGUACCACUGCUGGAUAAUUUGAAAGUCCCUGUGUGUCAUCCUCUGUGCUUCGUGGCAAGGUAGACUAGCAAACAUGCCCAACCUUUACUCACAUUCGAGAAAACACCCCCAACAAGAUUGCUUGCUCCAAAAUCAAAGAGGCACCGCCCUCCGAAUCUCGAGAGCCUGACUCCUAACAUGAUUACUUUCUCAAAAAUCGAAGAGAGGGUAAAGGAACAGUACCACUGCUGGAUAAUUGGAAAGUCCCUGUGUGUCAACCUCUGUGCUUCGUGGCAAGGUAGACUAGCAAACAUGCCCAACCUUUACUCAUAUUCGAGAAAACACUCCCAACUCCCAACAUGAUUACUUUCUCAAAAAUCGAAGACACCGCUCUCCGAAUCUCGAGAGCCAGACCCCCAGCAUGAUUGCUUUCUCAAAAAAUCGAAGAGGCAUCGUUCUCCGAAUCUCGAGAGCCAGAUCCCCGACAGGAUUGCUUGUUCGAAAACCGAAGAGGCACCACUUUCCCAACUUCAAGAGCCGGAUCUCCUUGGAUAAAGCUUGUCUGUAAUCUUCACACGCAACAUCAGCUUUCCAGAUACCACAGACCACUUUUUCAAAGUGCUCUGACAGAGUUAAAACUUGUGAAGCUGGCAGCUCCCACUACCGUGCUAUGACCAAGCAGGGUAAAGGAAUAGCAUUAUUACUUGAUGUUAGGGAGACUCCUAUAUAUGUCGACCUCCAUCCCCAACGGACAGGCAGACCUGCAAAAAUGCUCAACACUUCCUCUUAUCUGAGAGGGGCACUCCCAACGAAGCCUUUCGAAAUAUUCAGCUUUCUUUCCCCCCGAUAAUACCUCUGUAAAACAAGCUAUACUAGAGCAAGAAUAUCUCAUAUCAUCAGGGUUAAAAAGCAAGAGUAUCCCAUAUCAUGCUUUUUUCCCUGUCUUUUCCUUUGGCCUUGUUCUUACCUGCAAGACAAGGAGAAAGAGAGCAAUCAGUCAGCACUUGGAAUCAAGCUUCCAACCAGGAACUGACUGCCUGGAACCCCUUACCCUGGCAUUGCUCUCGAGUACUCAUCUUCAACAUCUUAUGCUUCCAAGGAAGAUACCGCAUCUGCCUGAGGAUAGGGCAAGUGAGAAGGAUACAAGGAAGCAUGUGGAGACAAGCGUAACAGCACACGUGCCGAUACAUCCACUACUCUGUCAAAAGCAAAAGUAUCCCAUAUCAGCAGGGUCGAACGUACUCUAGAUUUGAUGGACUUGUUUUGACCCUCAAAUUCUUCAGUCGGCCUUAUACUUUGGAGGAAACCAGAAAACCCUCCAGCCCAGUUCAAGAAUAAGCCUGUGGAAAGUUACUUCUUCAAAAGCAAAAGUAUCCCAUAUCAUCUCUUCUCAUUUUUUCUUCUCUUUAUCCUUCAUGCUGCCUGCAAGAUAGGGAGAAUGUGAACAAUCAGCCAGAGCUCUGAUUGCUUACCUUGUCUGUUACCUCUUUCAGCAGAUCCCCUAGCUCGGCGACUUGGGGGACUCCUACUACAUGGUUUGUAUCGCGCUUGACCAAGCCUGAAACUACAAGUAAGCUUCAAGUGACAUUGAUACAUUACCUUGUGCAUCUCCACCAGUUACAGAUACCACCCCUGGAUGGAGGAAGAGUACUUCCAGAGAAGAUUCCACAUCUACCUAUGAGACAGAUAAGGAAAGUCAAGCCGAUACCACACUCCGGGACUUAGAAGUUUCGUGGUUACGAGAUCAUUCUCCCACAAUAUUUCCUAAUGUCAUUUGUACUAAAUCAUUCACUUGUACUCCCUAAAGGAGAGCUUGAACCUAUGUACUUGUGUAAACCCUUCACAAUUAAUGAGAACUCCUCUAUUCCGUGGACGUAGCCAAUCUGGGUGAAUCACGUACAUCUUGUGUUUGCUUUCCUAUCUCUAUCCAUUUAUAUACUUAUCCACACUAAUGACCGGAGCAAUCUAGCGAAGAUCACAAAAAGUGACCGUUUUCGCUACCUAGGAUCUAUCUUGCAAGAGAACGGAGAAUUAGAUGGAGAUCUCAACCAUAGAAUACAAGCUGGAUGGAUGAAGUGUAAGAGUGUAUCCGGCGUGUUGUGUGAUCGUCGUAGGCCACUGAAGCUCAAGGGAAAAUUUUAUAGGACGGCAAUAAGGCCAACGAUGUUGUAUGGCACAGAAUGUUGGGCGGUGAAGCAUCAACAUGUACACAAAAUGGGUGUAGCGGAGAUGAGGAUGCUUCGUGGGAUGUAUGGGCACACGAGAAAGGAUAAGAUUGGGAAUGAGGAUAUCCAAGGUAAAGUAGGAGUAGCCAAAAUUGAAGGAAAUAUGAGAGAAAAUCGGUUCCGGUGGUUUGGACAUGUGCAAAGAAGGCCUACUGACGCUCCGGUUCGAAAAUGUGACUACGGGACAGAAGUUCAGGGCCGAAGGGGUAGAGGAAGACCUAGGAAAACUUUGGAAGAGACCCUAAGAAAAGACUUGAUUACUUGGAUCUAACGGAGGACAUGACACAAAACCGAGCGCAAUGGCGUUCUAGGAUUCAUAUAGCUGACCCCACUUAGUGGGAAAAGGCUUUGUUGUUGUUGUUGUUGUUGUUGUUGAGAGAAAAGAUGAGAAUAGGAUUUCUUUAUGACUACAGCUAACAUAUAUAAGCCUUAACCAAUCAUAUAUUUAGACAAUUCUUGAUAAAAAUCUUUUAACCAAUCAUAUAUAUUCUUGAUGAAUCCCUGAUGCAGACCCUAGAUUACCAGUUCCAAAUAAACAACAGAGUUUGAUUCUUUCCUUGAUUCCAAAUUUCCAAUUCCAUUCUAGAAACCAAACACCUUAUUCAUUUCACAUUAUUUGUUAUUCAAAUAUGAAUAAAUUCAUGUAAGUGUGGAUUCAAGGAUAUAUAGAAUUUAUAAAGCUGCCCAAGAAAAUCUGCGCACUGAAAAGGUGAUAAGAGUUUUACCAUCCAGCUUAAGAAACCCCGACCCAAGAAUAGCAAUGUCUUGACGCACACGGGCAUCCAACCUCAUUACCACUGACAAGAAAUGGCAAAUAAUGAGCAAUGAGCUCUAAGAAUGAACAUUUCAGGUCAUAUAAAAUCAUGGAUGACUAUGUUAACACAUUGAUAAUAACUAUCACGUGCAGGUAGCCUUGUACAUUUUUUGCAAACCAUGCUCAACCUGACUUUAUAAUGCAUAAAUUACAGAAAAGGCCAAAAACACGGUCUUGCAAAUUUUGCAUACAGGUCCUGUGUAAUUUGAAGAUUGUAAACCUUAAUUGUAAUUUAACAUUGCAUGACUUGUUCCUGAGACUAAAGUAUAAAGACCAAGUAAGAUGGGUUACAAUUAAUUACUGCAAUCUCAUCUCAAAAUGAAAAGAAAAAAAAAACGAACGUAG
rnacentral:lncRNA from 1 species